UAUGGUGUACAAUCUGGAUGCAAGCAUAUGCAAAUUUCUUAACUCUGUAAUCCACUAAGGCCUUGUUAAGUACAUAAUCCUUGCUAGCGAAAAUGCUCAACAUAUCCCCUAUAUAUGUAAGAGAGAGAAAGGUUAGAAAGUACUAACACUAAGAGAUAUGUGCUAUCAAUUAGAAACACUUUAAGAUGACAUUAUCAAUUAGAAAACCAAGUAUUAAGCAGCAUAAGGGAAAAUAACAAACAAGGGCACCACAGUGGUUCAGAAACCAAUCAAUAUUUCCAUUUGUCACUUUUAUAAUAAUUUCCCAAGGGAAAAUCCUCAUAAUAAGCUUGAGUACCACCUAAUAACGUGUUCAAAUGUUACCAUAAGCAAAAAUGAGUGAUCCUAAAAUUCAUAUGACAAGGAAAGUCGUCAACUAGCAAACCGCCAAAUAACAGUUAUAUGGCUAGAAUUAGUUUUCUCCAACUUCAAGAAAAUAAAACAUAUUAAAACAAAAGGAAUUAUGGUGCAAAAUAAUGAAUAUGCUGCAAAGGUAAGAAGUUUCUGAAGGUAAAAAUGGUCAAUAAAAAACAACAUAUAAUUUGACGUAAAUCAAAGUAGAAUUAUUUCUCGCAAUGAAUUCUCUGCCAAUAAUGGCUAAGAGAAGGGGUAUUUAUUGAGAAUUAGUUAACCAGGCAGAAAUCAUCUAGGGCAUAGUAUUGUUUUAGGUCUGCGACAUUAAAAACAUAAUGAAUGUGUAAGUCUGGUGGUAGUUCUAUUUUGUAAGCAUUAUCUCCGAUCCUCUUUAGGACACGGAAUGGUCCUAAUUGUCUGUCUUUUAGUUUGUUGUAUGUUUCGAUUGGAAAUCGAUUUUUUCUUAGGUGAAUCAUUACUAAAUCUCCCUUGGUAAAGGUAGUUUGUCUUCUUUUUCUGUCUGUUGCGUCUUUGUAGGACUGAGUUGUUUCUUUUAGGUGAUUGUGGACUUCUUCGUGUAAAUUCUGGAUUUUUUCUAUCAUCUUUUCUGCCUCUGAUAGUUAGGGAACUCAACACAUUUUACUUGACCUAACCAAGAUGGCUCUUUGUAUGUAUAUUGCAUGUGUUGUUUGUUUUUUUCUAUAGCUCUUGAUUGUCUCACUUUUUUACGUUUUGCAUUUGCAAUUCUCUUUUCUUUCUUUGGUAUGCAAUGUGGUAACAAGGUCUUGCUAGAACCGGUGGGCUAACCUUUCUAUGGUUCUAAACUUAGUUUCUAAGUUUGACUGCUCCCUUCGGAGUGACAACAAGCCUCGUUUUCCCCUACUAUGGAACGGGGAGGAUUCAUUUUCUUUUCAAAGCCCUCGUCAAACUCAAUGCUAAGUUUGACUGCUCCCUUCGGAGUGACAACAAGCCUUGUUUUCCCCUAAUGUGGAUCGGGGAUGAUUCCUUCUCUUUUCAAAGCCCUCAUCAAACUCGAUGCUGUGCUUAGAACGCUAAGAGUAGGUGGUCUGGUUUUGGUUAGGCCAAAAGUGAAGUUUUCCCCCAUUUUUUAUGGGCUUUUUCUAAUGUAUAUUGGAUAUGUUGUUUGAUUUUUUUUAUAGCUCUUGAUUGUCUUACUGUUUUAUGUUUUGCAUUGUCAAGUCUCUGUUUUCUUUCUUUGGUAUGCAAUGUGGUAACUAGGCCUUGCUAGAACCGGUAGGCUAACCUUUCUAUGGUUCUACAUUUAGUUCCUAAUUAAGUUUGAUUGCUCCCUUCGGAGUGACAAUAAGUUUUGUUAAUGUCGACCCUUUUCUAAAGGGAUUUAGUUCACUGUGGCUAGGCAAGAGGUUUCUAACUCAUGUUUGACAAGACAAAUUUGUUAAAACCAUCUUAGUUUCUAAAGAGUGCCUCCUAUCCCUUUUUUACUCUAUCUAGGCUAGGUUUGGACUAAGUGCAUCAUAGGUAAGUCACGACAAAGCAACAAAGGAAGACAAAGCUAGAAAAGUAUUCAUGCACUUAUUUAUUAUACAUGCAAUCAAGCAUUCACAACAUACAUACCAUUUUCUCAAUCAUGCAUUCACACCUCAAUAAGAAAUAGCUAAAAGGAGCUUACAACAAAAAAGACAGCCGCUUAUUCUCAAAUUUCAGCACAUAUACUCAUCAAAAUUUAGAAUUUCACAUUGCAAACCCGAGCUCAGUGCUCAAGGGUUGCCAAUCAUGCUUUUUAUGCAAGAUCUAAUUAAGCUAAGAAGGUAUAAUGCUCAUUUUGUAUGGAAAGAAUUCUGAAAUUUUUUUUAAAUUUGGGCAAAAUUUGAACCCCGAAGUUUAGACUAAACAUGCAAGCUAAGCAAGCUAUUACCCACACCCACUCAAAAAAUUGCUUUGUCUGUCCUAAAAGCUUUUGAAAAUCAAAGUAAAUGGAGAAAAAUAAGGGGGGAACUUUGGACUCCCCUAGAAGGAUCGACAUCCUUGACUUUGGUUUGAAGCUUGCAUGGAUAAACCUUUUCAUUCCUUUUUAAUUGAUUAUUCAUCCUUGUUCCUGAAAAUCAAAGGAAAUUCUCUCAAUUUUAUAUAUUACUAAAAUUAGGAUACAUAUAAGUCUUAACUAGUCUAAUAGCACCCUCCAUUCAUCUUCCCCUACACUGGCUAUGGUAUCAAAAUUUUCAAUUAAGUAAUACGUCUACUAACGAACUUGAAAACAAAACACAUCACACUAAAAAACACAAACAUCACUUUAACCCAACAGAAGCUGCUCUUUUUACCCUUGCACUCACUAUCACAUUACUAUCAUGUUUGUCAACUGUCAAACUAACUCUUUUAAGUUAUUUAGUGUGACUACAAAGUUAUGAACACCAUAAUCUUAAUUAAAACCUUUUAAUAAACAAAUGCCAAGUUACUACUCAACAAUGGCAAGGAAUUCAAAAAACAUGACUGUAACGACCCAACUUUUCUAGGUAAGUCGAAGUCAUUAAUUUCAAAUAAGGACCUGAGUUUACACAAAAUCUCAAUCUCAAACAAUUUCAAAGUCUCAAGAAAAACAAAAAUUUAUAUCUGGGCCCUGUUUAAAAUAACCAGCACCUUCAAGACAAAUUUACUAAUUCGUGAAUACAAUUCAACUAUAAAAUUUUCUAAACAAUCUCAAGUACUAAACAAAACACGUGAAACAAAACAUUUAGCGGAAGCAAUUUAAAAUAACCCCUAUGGCAAUCACGCUUCCUUUCUGCCCCUCGCCGGUUUGCCGUCUUUAUUAUCUUUGCCUGAAAAUUAAAUAUAAGGAGGGUGAGUAUAAAAAUACCCAGUACGAGACCCUCUACUGGUCCCGUCAGGGUAAAAUAAAUUGUUAACAUUCUAUUGGGACACCCUGUACAGUCACAGUCUUGUGAUCCCGUAGGAUGCACAUUUCAGUCUAACGCCCCGAGGGACGUACAUUUCAGUCUAGUGUUCUGCAGAAACACAUAUCAGUCUAAUGCUCUUGAAGGUGCAGAAUAAUUGGUGAUCCGUGUGACACCUACAAGGCACACAUCCCAAUAAAAGCUAACAAUUUUUCCCCUCAGUCCAUUCUAAACAUCUUAACAGUCAUUCACAGAUCAGUUAAACAUUCUCAUCACGUAAACUCUUUAUUUAACCUCAAACAGUCGUCUUACUCUAAUUUAGUCCAAGGUCAAUAAAAAAACAUAUCAUUACAUCAGUUAACAAGCUAAACAAUCAUAACCUCCUCCUCAGUCACCAAGGGCACCACCAUGACGUUUCUUCCGUUCACAAGCACACAACAUAACAGUAGAUUAUACACUCAGUCUAGACAACAAUCAAUCUACUAAUCAAAUCCACACUUUAUAUAAGCAACAUCUACGAGAUUCAGUCGUUUCCACAUCCUUAUCUUUGUACACAUACAUAACCAGACAGUCAUAACAUAUACUCAACCACAGUCUACAUCAAUCCAUGCACAUAUAUGUAUUAAUUUCUCCCAGUCAAACAUAGCAAACAUUAAACUUUAAGUCAAUGCCCAAACAUACAUCAUAACAGUCAUCUCUACUCAGUUCAAAUCAAUACAUCUUAAUUAGUCAUUAUAUCUUAAUUUUAUUGUUGAGUCUAGUAGAAAAUCCCUUACUUUCAAGUUAGUUAAGCUCCUUAACCACGUUGAAGUCUACGAAGAACGAACCUAAACAUUAAGACAAUUUCUCAAUAAUUCUCAUCAAUCAUUUAAAUUCAACCCAAUGUGAUUUUUUUUUUACAACUUACCCAAAUCUUCACAAAACGAGUUCCAACUAGAAUCAAUUGUUUGGUGCGAACCCAAUGAAUUCGAGUGUUACCUUCAACCUAUAAUCGAUAUAAUCGAACAGUAAACGAUUUAUCCAACCAAUUAUUCCAGCAAUAUUACUUGAGUUUAUUUUGGAAACAGUUACAAAUUUCAUAACUUCAAUCUUACCAAUCAAAAUUUAAUGACUCGUGGCAAAGCAGGAACGACAGCGAACAACCCAAUCGAAUGGCGUGGGUUUGCUACCUGCGGCAGGACGAAGAAGGAACUCGACGCGCAGAAAGUUGGAUCUGGGGUCUUUAGUUCGGUUCACGGUAGCGAAUUAAAACCUGAUUGCGCGGACGUCAAAGGUGUUAUUCGCGGAAGAAGUCGAGCAGCAGCUUUGCGAAGAGACGACGUGCGACGGAGAGACUGUAUACAGACGGACGGAGAGUCGCGCGGCAGUGCAGAAAACGGAGGAGAAAGGAAUGGGCGGCGGCUGGGCUUGGCUUCGACGGAGACAGAGGCGAUUAGGACGGGGCACGGCGACGCAGAUCUGGACGACGGCGCGGAGACAGAGGUUGCGCGGCGCUGGGCAGAGGGUCAAACGGCGCUGGGCGAAGGGUCACACGGCGCUGGGCGGAAGGUCACACGGCGGCCUUGCUUCGCGAACAGAGAUGGCGGCCGACGGUUGCAGCGGCGGCUGGGUAUGGUAGAAAAGAAAGAGAAACGGAAGAAGAAUAGGGGCGGCGACCGUGGAUCGGAGAAGAAAAGAAGGAUGAAAGCGAUGGUGGCCGGUUGGAGGGUGCGGCUGGAGGUAGGGAUCGGUGAAGGAGAAAAUAGAAAAAGAAAAUGAAGGGGAAAUGGGGGUUGCGCGCGGGAGGAAGAAGAAAGGAAAAAAAAUUCUUUUUUUUUUUUCUUUUCUUUUAUUUAAAUUAAAUAAUAAAACUAAAAUAUGUGUAUUGAUCAAAUGACCCAUAUCAAUAAGGACACAAAAUUGGCAAAGAACAAAUAAAUUAAAAUGGACAAUAACUCUUGUUUCAUUACUUUCUCUCUCAUUGGAGUUCUUUUGUUCACCAUCAUUUCAAAUGUGGCAUCAUCUAACGACGUUGUUUCUACCAUCUGUUCAGAAAUCUCAAAUCCACAAUUUUGUUUAAGUGUGUUGAAAUCUGCAGGCACUACAGAUCUAAAAGGCUUGGCUGUAUACACCUUAAACCUUGCUCAUUCAAAUGCUGGCAAAUCUUUGAUCCUAGCCAACUCACUAGCAAAAGCCACCACCAAUCCUCAACUUAAGCAACGAUAUUCAUUUUGUGCUGAGAGCUAUGAUGAAGUUGUUGGUGACAUUGAAAAUGCUCAAAAACGACUUGGCACUUGGGGACUUUAUUGGUGUCAUUAUUGCAACUACUGGUGCCAUGACAACUCUUGGUGAUCACUGUCAGAAUAAGCUCUUGCAGCCGCCGAAGGAUACAUCGUUGCUUUUAAAGAAUAGCAACACUCUAGAUGAUAUAAUUUAGCAUUAUUAUGGUUAUAUCCGAUCAUCUUUGAGGGUUAUGUACUUGAACAUUUUGAUCAAUAAAUAAACUGAAGUUUAAUUUUUAAAAUAAUAUUACAAUGUGAUGGUGAUUGGAAUUGAUUACUUACUUUGAUUAAACUUGAGAAGAUAAGAAAAUCAAUUAAUAGAAACGUUCACCGACACACAUUGUCAGCACGUCGGAGAAAGCCUAAACUUUUUUUUCUUUUCUUUUACGUUCUGUUUUCUUUUCUUUGUUUGCCAUCAUCAUCAUCAUCUUCUUCUAGCUUCUUACGUUCUGUUUCAAUUGCAUACUUCUGUUAUUCUUGUAAUUUCUUCGUGGUUUUCUUUUUAACUUUGUGUUUCAGUGUGGAUUCAUAAACACAUUUUUCAGUGCUCUGGAUUCUGGAUCUGUUAUGAUUUUGAAAGGGUACAGUGAAGUGAAAAGUUGAAAUGGAAAAGAAAAAAAGAAGAAAAGAGGACACUUCUCGCGGUGGUGGCGGCAAAGACUGACGUCGACGACAACACAACUCUCCUCCUCUCCCUAUAUCUCGGCCGAUUUUGGGUUUAUUUUCGUUUUGCAUUCUGUUAUGUGUGGAAGGGAGAAUAAAUAGUGUGGACUUUCCCCGACGUCUUCGAAAACGUUGGGAAAUUUACCUUUCGCCGACGUAUGUAGUACACACGUCGGAGAAAGUUUAAAUAAUAAAUUCAUUAUUUAAACUUUCCCCGACGUACUCCUGUCAUACGAGUCUAAAUUAAAUUUAAUGCGUUCUCCUUCGGCGAUGUGUGUCAAGGUGACGUUGGAAAAAGUUUAAACACUAAUGCAAUUAUUUUAAAUCACAUAUGUUAUCGCUUAUAUGGCAUAGGAGUCUAUUAACGAUAGAAAUCUAUCUUGAUAGGUUUUUGCUACAUUUACAAUGUUUAAAAAAUAUUCUUAUAUACUUAACUAUUAUUCCUAAAAUUGCUAACCCAUUAUACUUACCCUUAGUUAAAUGUAUAAUGUCAAAAGUAAGUUUACUACGAAGGUAAUCUAUGUGACCCUUUUAUCCUAACGUAGGAAGUUUGUUCCACUCCAUACCAUUAUUGAACUAAAAGGAUUAAGUGUGUAUUAAUAUGUUUAAACAAGUAUAAUUAUAAGCAAAAUCUAUAAGUGAUAUAUUGAUAUUAGCAAUACAAUACGCGUCACAUAUGCAAACAUUUUGUGUCUAAUCGUUGUAUUUACAAUUAACUCCAUUAAAAUAUUACAAAUAGAAAUAGAACUCUUUAACCUAUGUUCAGUUAGGAUCACAAACUACAAAAUGAAAGCAUGGAACAAAUUUAAUUUUUUUUUUCUUUAAAGGAAAUUUUGUGUGUAGCACAUUAUAUUUUUUUCUUUCCUUUAAAAAACAUUAUUGAUCUUAUGAUAUUUGACAUAUAUUAUAUUUUUUUAAGAAUGUAAAUAAUGUAAAUAAUGUGCCAAAUAAUUGAAAACAUGUUAUCCAAAACAGAGAAUGGUUAAGAAAUUGUUGACAUUUAGUCAAAUUAAUAAAUAAUUCAAAAUUGUGUUUGAUUUUUGAAUUUGAAAAGAUAGUAAAAUUAGAAGUGUUUUGAAAUAGUGUUUACGAGAAGAUUUUUAAUUUUAAAUAGCAUUAUAGUAGCUAUGGAUGGUUAUAUAAUAGUCUACACAAUCUUUGUCACAAAUGAUUAAUUCGAUUUUUUAAAUCAAGUCUAAUGUUUUUUUUUUUUUUUUGCCUAUUUCUUACCCAUAAUUUUUACAUUUUUUGUAAGUAUAAUGGUUGAAUGCAAAAAGAGAGCUGACUAGUAAGUGCAAAAAGAGAUCUCACAAGCUUCUGCAAAAGCUAAUCAAGCAACCCAAAUCAUAAACGAGGAGAAAAGUUGAUUGGUUAAGCUUUGUUGUAGUAAAGAAGAAGUCAAAGUGAACAUGGAACGUUCUUCACUCUCAAAGAACAUCGCCAACAUAUAGAUUAUAUACUUUUUCUGGUAUUGACCCAAAAAACACAAUCCAAGUGUAUUUUUGGUGAGAUGCAUAGUUUAACUAAACCGUGUUAUUACAAAAUUUUUAAUUACUAGGAACUCCUAAUGAAACGAAUACAUUAUUUUUAUAAUUACGAGGUAAAAUGGAAACAUACAAACUACUAAAAAAAGUUGCAAUUCGAUUAUUGGGAUUCAAUCUACUCUCCAUGAAUGUUUCUUGAAAUGAGAGUUUUUAAGCAGCUACAACUUGCUUAUGUAUAAAAGCAAAACCCUUUCUCAACGCCUACCUUCAGUUUUGGCUUUAGAGCUUCAAGUGAUUUUUGCCCCUACUCAGAUAAACCCUGAAGAUCAGAUGUUACAAAGGCUUCAAUUCCACAUGCAAAAAUCAUGUUCAUGAACCAAAAGCACCUUAAGCUUCUCUUCGAUAUCUUUGAGCUCACUGGAUAAAGAACUGAUUUCUAAAGCAAUCAUCUCUACCCAUAUCCUCAUCGUUCCCACUGUCUUUUAAUAAGGUUGGCAUGAUAAUCACAACAAAAGAAGAAGAAACUAAGAUCAAUUUAACAAAUUUUAUGUUGGGAAACUUUUUUAAGAACAACUACUUAUAAACCAACCUUAGCUUUGGCCUCACAUUCCUUGAAUUUUCUAAAAGUAGAUACCACCUGUCCGGGCAACCCACACCAACCAACCAAGAGUAAGUUAGUGUGAAAGACACUUAUUUAAUGAAGAAUAUGUAAAAGAGGUCAUUCCAACUGUUACACAUAAUAGUAUUGGAGGCAGAUAACCUUGCCAUACCUCAUCAAGUUCUGAUAUUGAUUGAGCUAGUUUUUGAUACUCUGUGGGGUUUGAGACAAUAUCUGGAUUGACCAGCUUAACCUAAAUAAUAAUAUCGAUAGUGAUUAUUGUGUAGGAAAAUAUUAAAGCUAUAACCAAAUCAAAAGCAUAAUUGGAAAUACAUCAAAGAUGUAAAUGCAAAUUUCAAAAGUGGGAUCUACAGAAUGUAAGGGGAAGAAACUCAAAUAAAAUUACUUUAUUAUUAGUUAUAACGACUACUAAUAGAGAUUCCAGAUACACCACAGUUCCACGUCCUCUUUCAGGAGGAAAGCAAUGGUUAAAAAUUAAUUGUGAAAACUAAAGAAGGUCCUGUUCAAAUCCUAACAGCAAUAGGAAAGCAAGGAGUUAUAAGGUGAUCACUAUAGGCCAAAUCCAAAAUGCAUUCAAUAUUUGUCUUCCAAUUUCAUUAUCAAGUGCAUAGGCAAGGUCCCUAGUGAGGAAGUUAUUCGUUCUUUUCUUCAUUUUCUAUAGCUCUAGAAGUAGCUAAAUGGAAUCGUCAAGCACCUAAUCUAUUAAUUUUAAAACUCAAAAGUUCACCGCGGGAUUCUAGUCACUGCUGAAACAACAUAGAGUUCACUAGUUCCACAGUUAAAUUAAUUGCAAAUUGCAUUUCCUGGCAUUUUCAAGAAAAAAAAAAUGCACAAAUCAUAAUAUGAUGAAGUAGAAAAAUUUUGUGAGCUCGACUUUUCCAGGACAUAUCUUAGCUACUUCUCCUAUUCCAGCUCGAUAACCAUUGUACUUUAACAAUUGAAACAUUAAUCCAAUAGUUAACAAUGUUCUGCACUUUAUGCCCUUUACAUUUCCAACAACUUGAUGCAUACAUCAGUAGUUAACACAGGCACGAGCUCUUAAAUUCAAUGCAAAAUAAACAGUCCCAUUCCAAGCAUAGACACCAAAUACAAACAAUUGAUGGACUUGAAUCAGUGAAGAAAUAAGAAUGUCAUUUAACAGCAAAGCACAAAUUACCGAUAAUUUUUUCCACGUCUUCUCAGCAGAUUCCAAUUUCACGAUCAAAUAAGGUUCCUAAAAUAAAGCAAUCACCAUCAUCAUUUUCCACAAAUAUGAUUCGAACUAGUUUUACCACAAAUUAAUUUCUAGUAACUUGAAGAAAAACUCAGUGAACUCAAAGCAUAACGAAACUCAAGUUCUGUUAAAGCCAAUCCGAACAAUAAGAUAUAGACAUAUUGUGUUCUCGAAAGAAAAACAUUCAAUAAAUCUAACAGCCAUGCAAAUUAGAGUUGAAGCUCUAAAGGGAGGUGCAAAGCAUUUUAAGUUCCAGAGAGCAUCUUCUGAAGGCGAUGAGCCCAUAAGAUGAAAAAAAGGCCUCAAGUGAGGAAGAAAGACGCCAUCCAAACAUGAAAAAAGGAAGAAAGGCAAGAUUUUGGUAGCUCCAGACCUGAGGGAAGCCAACAAGGUGGCGAGGGAGGCAAGGCCCCAAAGUUUUAGCAUUGCCAGCAAAGUGAAGGUAGAGAGGACCACAGCGACACUUUCCUUUCUGACGUGGCGCCUCCGAGAGUUUAUGGACGCCCCAAUUGGGGCGUUUGGAUGGAGUAAGUUCUUCAAGGGACUUCCAAGAUUCGAUGGAGGUUGUCAAGAAAUUCUACGCAUUCAGAUUACAACCACUACAAGGAAUUUCAGAUCAACCACACAACAAUUUAACACUAUUGGGAGAAUCCACGAAUUCUUGGUCAAGUAGAAGAACCUCCAUGUGGAAGAAACAAAUUGUGAACGUGUCGAAGACCUUGAAGUGUGGAAAUGGAAGAUCAAAGAGUUCCAGCUUCGCCAGUCGACAGGGACGUCAACUGUUUAAGUAGGGGAGAAUGUCAAGAGCAUGCUUGUCCAAGGCAUUGUUUGCCCAUGGCCGCAUGGCCGAACAUCCUCAAACCGCCUUAUAUUUAUGUCUUAUAACUUAGUUUAGCCAUUUUGUUUCCUUUUGUUGUCGCCGACCUAGGGUGUGACGUUUCAAAAUUUUCAUAUGCAAGUCUGUCAUAGCUAAAAAUGUUUAAAAUGUACUAUAGGGAAGACAUAGUAGUUGAAUCCCUGACCAAGCCUUGUUGCACUCUUUGCAUUCUAAUCUUUCUUUGCAAUUAACAGUCUUCAAUGCUUUCUUUAACAGAUGUGUUUUCAAUUCUUUUCUUCUCUUCUUGUCUUAUAAAAAUAAAUUUCUCUCAAAACAUGAAAGAGGCUAUACCGUACUGCGUGCUUUUUUUGCGACUUCUGGAUUUCAUACAGCUUACUUGUUCACCGAGCUAGAACAAACGUCGCAUAAUCACCAUCCCCUAUUUGAAAAUUUACGAUUAUGACAGCAUGCGGUGAGGUGCACGCGGCAUGUGUGGGCCCAAGCCAAGCAUGCAACUGGCAUUCUGAUACUCUAUGCACGUGCAUGCUGCCUGCGCCCAUGCCCGUGCAGCCAGCAUUGUCAUGACGUAGUUUUUGGGAUGUUUGGUGUUUUGGGAAAUUUUGAGCAAAUUCUGGAUGUUCGAGCAUGCGGAUGUUCUAUGCAAUGCAACCAGCAGCCCAUAUGUUCUAUGUUCUCUUUACGGUCGUAUGUGCACAUUUGGUUAACUCUACUACUACUAAUGGGAAAGUUGACGAGCCUAUGCUGAAUUCAUCAGGAAAGGUGUACUUUGUUGAGCCCAUUGAGGAGAAGGAUACCUUCUUUUUUUCGAAGAGGUGUUUCAAUGCCUAGGCCGUCUUUUGACAAUGAGGUGUUAAUAUUACCUAGACUUCAUGCUAAGAACGGGUUGUGAAUUUAUAAUCAAGAAUGCAGUUCGAGUAUCAUGUCUUUCAAAUGAUUUCCAACAGCUUGAAUGUUUCUAUAAGACAAGAAUUUAUGCUUAACUGUUUUAGAAAGCAUGUUUUAUAAAAAUUGUCACUCACUAAGUCUUUCGACUUAUCCUUUCAAAUCAUUUCUCACUUUUCAGGUAUGGAUUAUGCAUUCCCUAAUGUUAAGCGUAUUGCUUGCUGAGCCAACCAGUUACUAGAAAUUGUUAAGUCAUUUUGAAAGUUAGUUUUGACUUUGUAAGAAAAGUUCAGGAUGAGCAUGUCUAUGUUUAUUGUUAAAGUUCCAAUGUUAUAAGUUAGUUUAGUAAAAAGGUCACUGUCAUGUUUAAAGCUUCUGCUGAUGUAUCACAAUAGUUGUAACUAGUGGUUUAAGUUAUUAGUUAAAGCAUGUAGCUUGUGUAUCGCUGUUUGUUUUGAGCAUGCAUUCAUGUUGUAACUGGUAGUUAAGUUAGAAAGGUUAGUCGGUUGGUAAGUUUUGCCAAGGUAUGGCAAUCCUUGCCAACCCUCGCACCUUCUUUCAGAGCUAGAUGUUGUUCAGAAAAUAAGGAGCUUUGGGAGGGGGUGGUGACAACAACACCAUCCCACUAGAGUACGCAAAUGAUGCAUUAUUGUUUAAUUAAGUCAUAUAUAACUUCCACAAUUUGGAUAGGAAUUUAACUCAUUAGAAGGUGUCCUAUAGAAUUUCUCAGUGAAAAGUUCAGAGAAGCUACAAACAAAUGUCACUACCGAACAACAAUCAUAUACAUGGGUUAGGGCUUUGAGCAGCUGUGAACACAACUUAAUAAUAAAUAUGAAGUCGUCCUCUUUUCAUCAUUAGUCAGAAGAAUUCUUAAACUUUCUAAAAAUAAUUGUCAAAUAAUUGAUUAUAUAGUAUGCCAUUUAUUUGGAAUAUACAAUUUUUUCAUUACCAGGAAAGGAGACUUCUCACUAAGUAAAUGUAAAGAGACUAAUGCUAUAAUUUGAAUUGGAAAAUAUAAUUUCAUAAUUAAGCAUCGAAUAGGGACUAGUUAAGAAGUACACACUUUAGUUUGCCAGAGUCCAUGUUCUACACAUGUUAGCCACUCUGUCAUUGGUUUAGCAGUAAAACAAAGGAUGUGUUUAGGAAUGUGAGCCACACAAAAGGGAAAGAAAACAGAAGGCGCAGUGAGCCACACAAAAGGGAUCGAAACGAAUGUUCAGAAAUAUCGGAAGGAUCGAAGAAAUAUGGAAGGAAAGACGAGGAAAAAACAACAGACCGGAGCAAGUUCAAGAAGGUAGAGAUCCCGAUCUUCAAUGGAAUAGACCCCGAUUCAUGGUUAUUUUUCGCGCCGAUCGUUAUUUCAAAUGCAAGAUACACAAGUUGACUGACUCAGAGAAGUUAAUGGUAGCGGUAAUCAGUUAUUAGGACCAGCUUUGGAUUGGUAUAGAUCAAUUGAUGAAUUGGAACAAUUCAAGAGUUGGGAAGAUUUGAAGCAAAGGUUGUUGUCCGAUUUCAGAGACGAUUCGGGAUGGAACACUCGUAGGCAGAUUCUUAAGGAUUAAGCAGGAAACGACAGUAGGGGAAUAUAGAAACAGUUUCGAUAAAUAUUUAGCUCCGGUAGCCUUCCUCCAGACCAUAGUAUUAGAAGAAACCUUUAUGAAUGGGCUAAGCCCAUGGCAUAAAUCCGAAGUUGAAACGCUGGAGCCCAUAGGUUUGGCCAAAGAUGAUGUAACUAGCCCUGAAAUUGAAAAUAGAGAGAUGGUUCGUCGAGAAUGUGGGCUUAGUAGUGUUUCGGGAAUGAAUCAACAAUUCAAGCAUAAUAACGUAAAGCAAACCUCGACAGUAAACACCCAAUCAGAAACCCACGGAAGGGAGCUGGCCAAUGAGAAACGAUUACGUUAAAAAGAGUGACGGCAGAUGAAAAGAGGAGGGAAGGUCCGACCAAGCGUCUUUCCAACGCUGAAUUUCAAGCACGGAGGGAAAACGGUCUGUGUUUUCAGUGUGAGGAGAAGUAUCACGAGCUGGACAUAGGCGUAAGGUGAAGGAACAGAAGGAAUUACGGAUGUUAGUAGUAAAGGAAAUGGGAGAAGAACUGGAAAUCAUUGAGGAUGAACACUUUGAUGUGGAAAACGGAGGCCCAGACCAUUGAAAUUGAAAAAGUGGAGAAUAUGAAUAUAGAGCUGUCCAUUAACUCAAUUGUGGGGUUAUCCAACCCUGGAACCAUGAAACUGAAAGGGAAGAUAAAAGAGACCAAAGUGGUAAUAAUCAUCGACAGUGGAGCCACCCACAGUUUUAUUGCAAAAAAUUUUGUAACCACCCUUAGCCUACCAAUGACAGAAAAACGUCCAACUAUGGAGUGAUUUUGGGGAUCAGGGGUUGCGGUCAAAAGGAAAAGGAAUCCGCAGUAAUGUUGAAGUGACGGUAGGAGAGUGGAAAAUUACAAACAACUUUUUACCCUUGGAAUUAGGGGUGGUUGCACUCAUUGGGCAUGACUGAAUUUGAUAUGAAAAAUUUGGUGAUGACAUUCCGACAUGGAGGAAGGAAGAUAGAGAUAAAGGGGGACCCUAGUGUCACCAAAACCCAAGUGAGCCUAAAGUCUAUAAUUAAGACAUGGGGAGCUGAUAAUCACGGUUAUUUGGUAGAAUGUCGGGCCAUGGAGGGAAGGCUAGCUGAGGAAGGCUUAGAGGAUGAAGAAGUGCCAGCCACUGUUGACAACAUGAUCUCUCCUCUGUUGAGCAAAUUUAAUGAUGUUUUUGAUUGGUUGGAAGAGCUGCCUUCGAAGAGGAACAUUGAGCACCAUAUACCCCUUCAGAAGGGGGUGGAUCCAGUUAAUGUCAGACCUUAUCGUUACGCACAUCGGCAAAAGGAGGAAAUUGAAAGACUAGUUGAUGAAAUGUUGAAGACAGGCAUCAUAUGACCGGGUACCAGUCUGUAUUCCAGCCCAGUCCUUCUCGUGAAAAAGAAAGAUGAUAGCUGGCAAUUUUGUGUAGAUUAUCGGGAGUUGAACAAUGUCACUAUCCCAGAUAAGUUCCCAAUUCCGGUCAUAGAUGAGUUAUUCAAUGAGCUGAAUGGGGCCAACAUGUUUUCGAAGAUUUAUUUAAAGGCGGGUUAUCACCAAAUCAGGAUGCAUCUGAGAGGUGUAGAGAAGACGGCCUUUCGAACACAUGAGGGACACUAUGAGUUCUUGGUCAUGCCGUUUGAGCUAACCAAUGCCCCCUCUACGUUCCAAGCAUUAAUGAACCACAUCUUUAAGCCUUAUAUGAGAAGAUUCGUAUUAGUGUUUUUCGAUGACAUUUUGGUGUACAACAGGGGAGUAGAAGAACAUGGACAGCAUCUGGAAGUAGUCUUGGAGAUCCUUCGAGAGAAUGAAUUGUAUGUGAAUUUAGCCAAAUGUUGCUUUGCCAAAAGUAGAAUAGGUUAUUUGGGGCAUUUCAUAUCCGAAAAGGGAGCUAAAGUUGAUCCAGAAAAAAUAAGGGCAAUUAGGGAAUGGUCGAUUCCCACUAGUGUGCGAGAAGUUCGAGGUUUCUUAGGACUCAAUUGAUACUAUAGGAAGUUUGGGCAGAAUUAUGGCAGUAUCGAAAGCCCUUUGACACAGCUUUUGAAGACAGGAACUCAUUGUUGGACUGAAGAAGCAAGUGCUGCCUUUGAGAAGUUGAAGAUGGCAAUGAUGAUUCUACCGACGUUAGCUAUGCUGGACUUUAAUCUACCACUCGAGAUAGAAACAUAUGUAUCUUGUUUUGGUGUGGGGCCGUUUUAGUACAAGCCAAGAGACAAAUAUCCUUCUUUAGUAAAACCUUAUGCAUGUGGGAUAGAGCGCGACUGGUUUAUGAAAGAGAAUUGAUAAUAGUAAGUGUUUUGCGGUGCAAAGGUGGAGACCAUAUUUGUUAGGGAAGAAAUUUACAGUGAAAACUGAUCAGAAGUCGCUCAAAUUUCGGCUAGAACAAAGGGUGAUUCAACCCUAAUACCAAAAAUGGAUAGCCAAUCUUUUGGGAUAUUUCAUUUGAGGUAGUCUGCAAUCCUGGGAUUGGAGAAUAAGGCAGCCGAUGCUCUAUCUAGAACACCCCGUAUAGUGCACUUAAAUCAAAUAUCAGCCCCAACACUACUCGAUUUAGUGGUGAGUCAAGAAGAGGAAAAGAGGGAUCAAUACCUACAGGAAAUCCAGAAGAAAAUAGAAAGAACAAAAAGUGAAAGUUCCAAACUUUUCAGUACAGCAAGGGGUAUUGAAAUACAAAGGAAGGUUGGUGAUGUCAAAAACAUCCGUUCUACUACCCACUAUUCAUGCAUACCUAUUCAUGAUUUUGUCUUUGGAGGACAUUCAGGGUUCCUAAGAACGUACAAGAGGAUGACCGGAGAGAUUUACUAGGAAGGAAUGAAGAAAAACAUAAAGAAAUACUAUGAAGAAUGUCUUGUAUGCCAAAGGAAUAAAACACUUGCAUUAUUACCUGCUGGAUUGCUGCUGCCACUUGAGAUUCCUAACACAGUGUGGUCGGAUAUUUCCAUGGAUUUUAUAGAUGGACUUCCAAAAUCAGCUGGAAAAGAAGUGAUUUUUGUGGUUGUAGAUUGUCUGAGUAAGUAUGCACAUUUUUACAGCUAUAAAUCAUUCUUACAUGGCCAGCUUCGUAGCAGAAGUUUUUGUUAAAGAAGUGGUGAGAUUGCACGGGUAUCCGCAGUAAGUUGUAUCGGAUCAAGACAAAAUCUUUAUUAGUCAUUUCUGGAAGGAAAUGUUCAAGUUAGUGGGAACUAAAAUAAAUAGAAGGAAAUGUUCAGGUUAGUGGGAACUAUGCCCAUAUACACCAAGUUCGAAUAUAGAACUUGCUUCUUACUGAAAAAAUAAUGAUUAUUGGGACUUGCUAUAAAGGGUAUCCAAUACUCGAAGUAAAUGAAUGAUUACAAAAUGAUUGUUUCCUCAGUUUGAAGAAGAACAACAAAAAAGAAAAGAAGGAUAAAAAAAAAAAAAAACAAACUUUCUUUUUGAAAUUCUAAAAGAAUCCAAAAAGACUUCAAAAGGUGCAACCAAGAAAGGAGGUCAAAGAAGGGCUCUGAUAGACCCCCCUAUCAUACGUCAAUAUAGUCGAAAAAAAAAGAGAGAGAUCACAAGGGAACACACAUGCGAAGAAGAAAAGAUUUAAAGGACUGUUAGAAGAAAAGAUUUAAAAAGCUUGUUGGGCGUCGGUUAGAUUUGAGGAGAUUUAGGAGGGUCGUUAGGUGUUGAUUAGAAUAAAUAAGGAUAGGGAGGAAAGAGGAGGGUAUGCUGAGUUUAGAAGAAAAUUGACUCAUGCUCUUCCUUGAGCGAUAGGAUAGCAGAGAGGGAAUUAGAUUGUUUUUCGAAUUGAGUCCUCCUCAAUUUGAGUGUUCUGAUAUUUUGAUUUUCCUUGUAACUCAUUCUUUGAUUGAAGCAAUAAAAGUUCUAAUUGGAUUUCCAAAAGAGUUCUAUCAAAUUGGUAUCAGAGACAGUUUUUUCUGACCAAGAGGAAAAUGAUGGUCCAAACACGAAUGAAGGAGAGAAUGGAGGCGCACGACCAGGAGAUGCAUUUGAUGAGAAGCGAGAUAAGCAAAAUUUCGACAAUGAAAGAAAUAUUAGCCACGAUCAGCGUACAGACAAAGAAGACUCACAAAAUGUUGAUAAUGUUCAUGGAAUCGAUUACCAGAGAGCAUAUCGUUAUGAGUGAGAAAAUGGCCGAGUCGAGUGUGCGAGAGACAGUAUCAACAAUAACGAAUAAGAAGGAAGGCUCGAUCGAAAAGGACCAUGAGCACGAAACAAAGGAUGGAAAGAUAGAAGGAGAAGACGGAGCGAACGAGCAUAAUAAGUUCAAGAAGGUUGAGAUGCCAGUUUUCAACACGGAAAAUACCCAAUUUUUGACCCUUUCGAGCAGAUAGAUAUUUUCAGAUACACAAAUUGACUGAUGCUGAGAAGGUCCUGGUUGCGACCAUUAGUUUUGAAGGCCCGACGCUGAACUAGUAUAGGGCGCAAGAAGCACACGACAAGUUUACCAGUUGGUCGAACCUCAAGGAGAGAAUACUCAUCCGUUUUCAAUCAGCAAAAGAGGGGUCCAUAUGCGGACAAUUUUUUAGGAUCGGAUAACAGACGACAGUAGAAGAAUAUCGAAACCAGUUAUAUAAGCUGAUGGAACCGUUAUCCGAUCUACAAGACAGAGUGGUGGAGGAAACAUUCAUGAACGGUUUACUGCCGUGGAUUAAAGCAGAAGUGGAUUUUUGUCGUCCGGUCGACGUGGCUCAAAUGGUGCACGCGGCUCAACUCGUAGAAAAUCGAGAGAUAAUUCACAAUGAGGCCAACCUUAAGGGGUACGCCCAAGGAAAAUAUCCGCCUCAAGGUUCUAGGCAAAAUACGAGUGCUGCGACGGUGAACGAUAGCGACAAUAAGAGAAAUACAUUAUUUUCGAUGAGAACGAUUACUCUGAGAACGACAUCCAGAGAAGUUAAGAGAGGGGCAGGCAAAGCGAUUGUUAGACGCGGAGUUUUCAAGUCAGGAAGGAAAAAGGACAUUGUUUUCCGUUGUAAUGAGAUAUAUUAUCAUGAUCAUCGAUGCAAAAACAGAGGGCAAAGAGAGUUGAGAAUGUACGUGGUCAGGGCGAAUGAUGAAGAAUUUGAAAUCAUAGAAGAAGUGGGAGAAAAUGAAUUGUUUGGAAAUCACAUAAGAAGAUCAUGUUGUCAUCGAACUGUCAAUUAAUUCGGUGGUGGGGCUGAACAAUCCGAGGACAAUGAAGGUGAGGGGGAAUAUCAGUGAGCGAGAAGUUUUCAUUUUCAUUGAUUGUGGAGCAACGCACAACUUCAUCUCCGAAAAGAUAGUAAAGGAGUUACAACUGGCCACGAAGGCAACGUCGCACUAUGGUGUAAUCUUGGGCUCGGGGGAGGCGAUAAAAGGUAAAGGAGUAUGUGAGGACGUGGAAAUCAAGUUGAACGGGUGGAAGGUGGUGGAAAAUUUGUUACCCUUAGAAUUGAGAGGGGUAGAUGUUGUGUUAGGAAUGCAGUAGUUGUAUUCAUUGGGCAUGACGGAAGUAGAUUGGAGGAACCUCACAAUGACUUUUGUGCAACAAGGAGAAAAGGUAGUGAUAAGAGGAGACCCAAGUUUGACCAAAUCCAGAGUGAGUCUCAAGAACAUGAUCAAAAGUGUGGAAGGAUUCGUGAUCGAGUGCCGAGCAAUGGAGAGAGUCUUUGAGCCACAGGAAGAUAACGGGAUUGAAGAAGUAUUAACUACUGAUGAAGCAGUAUCGGUCGUGUUGAAGAAUUUUGAAGAUGUUUCUAAUUGGCCGAAGACACUACCCCCGCAAAGAAAUAUUGAACAUCACAUUCAUUUGAAACAGGGCACUGAUCUGGUAAAUGUUCGACCCUAUAGAUACGCUUAUCAACAGAAAGCUGAGAUGGACAAACUUGUGGAUGAGAUGUUGACAGCGGGAAUUAUCCGUCCCAGCAACAGUCCAUAUCUAGUCCAGUUCUAUUGGUAAUGAAAAAAGAUGGCAGCUGGCGUUUUUGCGUAGACUACCAAGCGCUGAACAAUGUAACCAUUCCAGACAAAUUCCCUAUUCCGGUGGUUAAGGAGCUUUUCGAAUGAAUUAAAUGAAGCAAACUGGUUUUCAAAGAUUGAUUUGAAGGUGGGGUACCAUCAGAUCAAAAUGUGUGGAGAAGACAUCGAAAAAGCAGCAUUCCGAACACAUGAUGGACACUAUGAAUUUAUGGUUAUGCCAUUCGGCUUAACUAAUGCCACAUCCACUUUCCAAGCUCUGAUGAACUCAACAUUCAAACCAUUUUUGCAGAAGUUCAUAUUAGUGUUUUUCGACGACAUACUAAUCUACAGUGAGAACUUGGAACACCAUUUGAAGCACAUUGGGUUAGCAUUGGAAAUCCUGAGAAAGAAUGAGUUAUAUGCAAACAAGAAGAAGUGCAGCUUCGCACAAGAACGUAUUGAUUAUUUGGGUCAUAUCAUUUCAAGACAAGGAGUUGAAGUGGACCUUGAGAAAAUCAGAGCAAUCACGGAAUGGCCUAUACCCAGUAAUAUAAGAGAGGUACGGGGAUUCCUAGGCCUCACCUGUAACUAAAGAAAGUUCGUUCAGCACUAUGGCUCCAUUGCCGCACCAUUGAUUCAACUACUUAGGAAAGGGGGAUUCCAGUGGACUGAGGAGUCUAAGGAGGCAUUCCAACAACUACAAAAUGCGAUGAUGACCCUGCCCGUUUUGGCGUUGAAAAAAUUUCAAUGCCACAUUUGAAAUGGAAACCGAUGCAUCGGGAUAUGGGGUAGGAGUCGUACUCGUCCAAGCCAAGCGUCCCAUAGCAUACUUUAGUCAUACGUUAGCCUCAAGAGAUAGAGCCAAGCCUGUACAUAAAAGGGAAUUAAUGGCAGUGGUCUUGCAUGUGCAACGAUGGCGACCAUAUCUGUUGGGGAGAAAAUUUAUUGUGAAGACCGAUCAGAAAUCCUUGAAGUUCUUGUUAGAACAAAGAGUGAUACAGCUUCAGUAUCAGAAAUGGGUAGCGAAGCUAACGGGAUACUCAUUUGAGGUGGUCUACAAACUCAGCUUGGAGAAUAAAGCAGUAGACGCCUUGUCUUGGAUGCCUCCUACAAUUAACCUCGGUAGCAUAACAGCUCCUACAUUGGUUGACAUUCUGGUGACUAAAAAGGAAGUCAAAGCGUAUGAAAAAUUAAGCAAAAUAAUGGAAGAACUACAAGCAAUGGAAGAAGUAACAGAGGGUAAAUUCUCCAUCCGACAAGGUAUGUUAAGAUAUAAGGAUAAGUUUGUGUUGUCCAAAACAUCUACAUUGAUACCCACAAUCCUACAUACUUACCAUGAUUCGGUACUUGUGAGGAAUGUGUAAUAUGUCAGAAGAACAAGUCCCUAGUGUAACGAGCAUACUUGUCCAAGGUGUGUUUACCUAUGGCCGUAUGCUCCGAUUAGCCCCAAUUUACCUUGUCUUUAUGUCUUGCACGUAGCUUAGGUAGUUGCUUUCAAUUUCAAGUCGAUAUGCUUGGGUGUGACGUUUCGGCAUUUUCAUAUGUUAAAAAUGUACUAUAGGGGAGGCAUACCUGUUGAAUCCCUGCCCAAGCCUUGUCGUACUCUUUGCAGUCUAUGCUUUCUUAUUGCAAUUGACAGUCUUCAAUGCUUGUUUUAACAACGUUUUCAAUCAAUUUAAUCAUCUUUCAUGUUUUCUAAAACUAUUUUUCCAAGAACGUGAGGGGAGGUUGAAGUAUGUGUUAAAGUUGUCUGCGAUUUGCAGAUUUUGAUCGGCUGACUUGUUCGCCGAGCUAGAACAAGUGCCGCACAAUCGUUCACAAUCGUGUAUGGGUUUCGUAAGGGUUACACAGUAAAGGAAGAGUAAGAAUUUGAGUGGAGAAACUCCAAAUUGGGAUCAACACGUGGGCAACAACAUGGCUUCUCACCAACAUGAGAACUCAAAAGAGACAGCAGAUAUUCUAGAGAAGCCAAUGAACUCUUGGGAUGUGAAUCUGCACUUUCCUGCAAUAGUUUGAGUGUGAAUUAGUUCUCUGAAAACACCUGCAGAGGAUAAUCCACGGCAAAACAGAAUAACUAUAAAAAAACCACUUGCAAGUAGAAGAAAAAGGAAGUACAUUUAUACCUUCCCUGUCAAAGUGAUAUCCCUCAUCAACGGAUAUGCAUUUCUUUCCAGGAAGUAGCCAACAAUUUUACAAACCCAUGGGAGUUUAGGUUGUAAUAAGAAAACAAUUGUGUCCAACAAUAGAGUUGCAGGUGUGUUAGAGUUCACAGGUGCAGCCAAAAGUUGAUUCCUCAAUUGGUUUCUAUCAAGAACAACAUCAAGUAAGAAUAAUUCGGAGGAAAAAUAAAGGCAACUUAUCAUAUAUAUAAAUAUGAUUAGUCUGAAUUCGUUUGCGGAAGGUAAAAAAACCUUUAUGUCAAUUAUAUAUAUCUGAACAAAAUCUAAGAAAUAUAUCACUUUUCAACAAAAGAAAUAUAUCAUAUACAAUUAAAGGAUCAUAGCAUAGAAAGCCAACAAAAUCAACAAUGAUAGAUCAAACAUCUGUUUUUCCAUUCAAAACGUUAAAAAGGAUAAGUUUUUAAUAAGGAAUGUUGAAAUGGAAAAAACUAAUUACCUAUUAUGGUGUACAAUCUGGAUGCAAGCAUAUGCAAAUUUCUUAACUCUGUAAUCCACUAAGGCCUUGUUAAGUACAUAAUCCUUGCUAGCGAAAAUGCUCAACAUAUCCCCUAUAUAUGUAAGAGAGAGAAAGGUUAGAAAGUACUAACACUAAGAGAUAUGUGCUAUCAAUUAGAAACACUUUAAGAUGACAUUAUCAAUUAGAAAACCAAGUAUUAAGCAACAUAAGGGAAAAUAACAAACAAGGGCACCACAGUGGUUCAGAAACCAAUCAAUAUUUCCAUUUGUCACUUUUAUAAUAAUUUCCCAAGGGAAAAUCCUCAUAAUAAGCUUGAGUACCACCUAAUAACGUGUUCAAAUGUUACCAUAAGCAAAAAUGAGUGAUCCUAAAAUUCAUAUGACAAGGAAAGUCGUCAACUAGCAACCGCCAAAUAACAGUUAUAUGGCUAGAAUUAGUUUUCUCCAACUUCAAGAAAAUAAAACAUAUUAAAACAAAAGGAAUUAUGGUGCAAAAUAAUGAAUAUGCUGCAAAGGUAAGAAGUUUCUGAAGGUAAAAAUGGUCAAUAAAAAACAACAUAUAAUUUGACGUAAAUCAAAGUAGAAUUAUUUCUCGCAAUGAAUUCUCUGCCAAUAAUGGCUAAGAGAAGGGGUAUUUAUUGAGAAUUAGUUGGCCAGGCAGAAAUCAUCUAGGGCAUAGUAUUGUUUUAGGUCUGCGACAUUAAAAACAUAAUGAAUGUGUAAGUCUGGUGGUAGUUCUAUUUUGUAAGCAUUAUCUCCGAUCCUCUUUAGGACACGGAAUGGUCCUAAUUGUCUGUCUUUUAGUUUGUUGUAUGUUUCGGUUGGAAAUCGAUUUUUUCUUAGGUGAAUCAUUACUAAAUCUCCCUUGGUAAAGGUAGUUUGUCUUCUUUUUCUGUCUGUUGCGUCUUUGUAGGACUGAGUUGUUUCUUUUAGGUGAUUGUGGACUUCUUCGUGUAAAUUCUGGAUUUUUUCUAUCAUCUUUUCUGCCUCUGAUAGUUAGGGAACUCAACACAUUUUACUUGACCUAACCAAGAUGGCUCUUUGUAUGUAUAUUGCAUGUGUUGUUUGUUUUUUUCUAUAGCUCUUGAUUGUCUCACUUUUUUACGUUUUGCAUUUGCAAUUCUCUUUUCUUUCUUUGGUAUGCAAUGUGGUAACAAGGUCUUGCUAGAACCGGUGGGCUAACCUUUCUAUGGUUCUAAACUUAGUUUCUAAGUUUGACUGCUCCCUUCGGAGUGACAACAAGCCUCGUUUUUCUCCCUACUAUGGAACGGGGAGGAUUCAUUUUCUUUUCAAAGCCCUCGUCAAACUCAAUGCUAAGUUUGACUGCUCCCUUCGGAGUGACAACAAGCCUUGUUUUCCCCUAAUGUGGAUCGGGGAGGAUUCCUUCUCUUUUCAAAGCCCUCAUCAAACUCGAUGCUGUGUUUAGAACGCUAAGAGUAGGUGGUCUGGUUUUGGUUAGGCCAAAAGUGAAGUUUUCCCCCAUUUUUUAUGGGCUUUUUCUAAUGUAUAUUGGAUAUGUUGUUUGAUUUUUUUUAUAGCUCUUGAUUGUCUUACUGUUUUAUGUUUUGCAUUGUCAAGUCUCUGUUUUCUUUCUUUGGUAUGCAAUGUGGUAACUAGGUCUUGCUAGAACCGGUAGGCUAACCUUUCUAUGGUUCUACAUUUAGUUCCUAAUUAAGUUUGAUUGCUCCCUUCGGAGUGACAAUAAGUUUUGUUAAUGUCGACCCUUUUCUAAAGGGAUUUAGUUCACUGUGGCUAGGCAAGAGGUUUCUAACUCAUGUUUGACAAGACAAAUUUGUUAAAACCAUCUUAGUUUCUAAAGAGUGCCUCCUAUCCCUUUUUUACUCUAUCUAGGCUAGGUUUGGACUAAGUGCAUCAUAGGUAAGUCACGACAAAGCAACAAAGGAAGACAAAGCUAGAAAAGUAUUCAUGCACUUAUUUAUUAUACAUGCAAUCAAGCAUUCACAACAUACAUACCAUUUUCUCAAUCAUGCAUUCACACCUCAAUAAGAAAUAGCUAAAAGGAGCUUACAACAAAAAAGACAGCCGCUUAUUCUCAAAUUUCAGCACAUAUACUCAUCAAAAUUUAGAAUUUCACAUUGCAAACCCGAGCUCAGUGCUCAAGGGUUGCCAAUCAUGCUUUUUAUGCAAGAUCUAAUUAAGCUAAGAAGGUAUAAUGCUCAUUUUGUAUGGAAAGAAUUCUGAAAUUUUUUUUAAAUUUGGGCAAAAUUUGAACCCCGAAGUUUAGACUAAACAUGCAAGCUAAGCAAGCUAUUACCCACACCCACUCAAAAAAUUGCUUUGUCUGUCCUAAAAGCUUUUGAAAAUCAAAGUAAAUGGAGAAAAAUAAGGGGGAACUUUGGACUCCCCUAGAAGGAUCGACAUCCUUGACUUUGGUUUGAAGCUUGCAUGGAUAAACCUUUUCAUUCCUUUUUAAUUGAUUAUUCAUCCUUGUUCCUGAAAAUCAAAGGAAAUUCUCUCAAUUUUAUAUAUUACUAAAAUUAGGAUACAUAUAAGUCUUAACUAGUCUAAUAGCACCCUCCAUUCAUCUUCCCCUACACUGGCUAUGGUAUCAAAAUUUUCAAUUAAGUAAUACGUCUACUAACGAACUUGAAAACAAAACACAUCACACUAAAAAACACAAACAUCACUUUAACCCAACAGAAGCUGCUCUUUUUACCCUUGCACUCACUAUCACAUUACUAUCAUGUUUGUCAACUGUCAAACUAACUCUUUUAAGUUAUUUAGUGUGACUACAAAGUUAUGAACACCAUAAUCUUAAUUAAAACCUUUUAAUAAACAAAUGCCAAGUUACUACUCAACAAUGGCAAGGAAUUCAAAAAACAUGACUGUAACGACCCAACUUUUCUAGGUAAGUCGAAGUCAUUAAUUUCAAAUAAGGACCUGAGUUUACACAAAAUCUCAAUCUCAAACAAUUUCAAAGUCUCAAGAAAAACAAAAAUUUAUACCUGGGCCCGGUUUAAAAUAACCAGCACCUUCAAGACAAAUUUACUAAUUCGUGAAUACAGUUCAACUAUAAAAUUUUCUAAACAAUCUCAAGUACUAAACAAAACACGUGAAACAAAACAUUUAGCGGAAGCAAUUUAAAAUAACCCCUAUGGCAAUCACGCUUCCUUUCUGCCCCUCGUCGGUUUGCCGUCUUUAUUACCUUUGCCUGAAAAUUAAACAUAAGGAGGGUGAGUAUAAAAAUACCCAGUACGAGACCCUCUACUGGUCCCGUCAGGGGAAAAUAAAUUGUUAACAUUCUAUUGGGACACCCUGUACAGUCACAGUCUUGUGAUCCCGUAGGAGGCACAUUUCAGUCUAACGCCCCGAGGGACGUACAUUUCAGUCUAGUGUUCUGCAGAAACACAUAUCAGUCUAAUGCUCUUGAAGGUGCAGAAUAAUUGGUGAUCCGUGUGACACCUACAAGGCACACAUCCCAAUAAAAGCUAACAAUUUUUCCCCUCAGUCCAUUCUAAACAUCUUAACAGUCAUUCACAGAUCAGUUAAACAUUCUCAUCACGUAAACUCUUUAUUUAACCUCAAACAGUCGUCUUACUCUAGUUUAGUCCAAGGUCAAUAAAAAAACAUAUCAUUACAUCAGUUAACAAGCUAAACAAUCAUAACCUCCUCCUCAGUCACCAAGGGCACCACCAUGACGUUUCUUCCGUUCACAAGCACACAACAUAACAGUAGAUUAUACACUCAGUCUAGACAACAAUCAAUCUACUAAUCAAAUCCACACUUUAUAUAAGCAACAUCUACGAGAUUCAGUCGUUUCCACAUCCUUAUCUUUGUACACAUACAUAACUAGACAGUCACAACAUAUACUCAACCACAGUCUACAUCAAUCCAUGCACAUAUAUGUAUUAAUUUCUCCCAGUCAAACAUAGCAAACAUUAAACUUUAAGUCAAUGCCCAAACAUACAUCAUAACAGUCAUCUCUACUCAGUUCAAAUCAAUACAUCUUAAUUAGUCAUUAUAUAUUAAUUUUGUUGUUGAGUCUAGUAGAAAAUCCCUUACUUUCAAGUUAGUUAAGCUCCUUAACCACGUUGAAGUCUACGAAGAACGAACCUAAACAUUAAGACAAUUUCUCAAUAAUUCUCUUCAACGCAUCAAUCAUUUAAAUUCAACCCAAUGUGAUUUUUUUUUUACAACUUACCCAAAUCUUCACAAAACGAGUUCCAACUAGAAUCAAUUGUUUGCUGCGAACCCAAUGAAUUCGAGUGUUACCUUCAACCUAUAAUCGAACAGUAAACUAUUUAUCCAACCAAUUAAUCCAGCAAUAUUACUUGAGUUUAUUUUGGAAACAGUUACAAAUUUCAUAACUUCAAUCUUACCAAUCAAAAUUUAAUGACUCGUGGCAAAGCAGGAACGACAGCGAACAACCCAAUCGAAUGGCGUGGGUUUGCUACCUGCGGCAGGACGAAGAAGGAACUCGACGCGCAGAAAGUUGGAUCUGGGGUCUUUAGUUCGGUUCACGGUAGCGAAUUAAAACCUGAUUGCGCGGACGUCAAAGGUGUUAUUCGCGGAAGAAGUCGAGCAGCAGCUUUGCGAAGAGACGACGUGCGACGGAGAGACUGUAUACAGACGGACGGAGAGUCGCGCGGCAGUGCAGAAAACGGAGGAGAAAGGAAUGGGCGGCGGCUGGGCUUGGCUUCGACGGAGACAGAGGCGAUUAGGACGGGGCACGGCGACGCAGAUCUGGACGACGGCGCGGAGACAGAGGUUGCGCGGCGCUGGGCAGAGGGUCAAACGGCGCUGGGCGAAGGGUCACACGGCGCUGGGCGGAAGGUCACACGGCGGCCUUGCUUCGCGAACAGAGAUGGCGGCCGACGGUUGCAGCGGCGGCUGGGUAUGGUAGAAAAGAAAGAGAAACGGAAGAAGAAUAGGGGCGGCGACCGUGGAUCGGAGAAGAAAAGAAGGAUGAAAGCGAUGGUGGUCGGUUGGAGGGUGCGGCUGGAGGUAGGGAUCGGUGAAGGAGAAAAUAGAAAAAGAAAAUGAAGGGGAAAUGGGGGUUGCGCGCGGGAGGAAGAAGAAAGGAAAAAAAAUUCUUUUUUUUUUUUCUUUUCUUUUAUUUAAAUUAAAUAAUAAAACUAAAAUAUAAAUAAAUAUAUAUAUAAUUAUAUUAUCACAUUUUCAAAUCUUCUUUCUCCCCCUUCAUCAUAUUUUCUUCAAAAAAAUAAAUCUUGUACAAAUCGAAUAAUUUUCUUAAAAUAAAUUACCUUCGAGUUUGGGGCGUUACAAUGACAGCUAUAUUGUAACUUGGCACUUGGGGACUUUAAUGGUGUCAAUAUUGUAACUUCUGGUGCCAUGACAAAUAUUGGUGACUGUCAAGAUAAGUUCGCAUAGCCACCGAAAGAUACAUCGUUGCUUUUGAAGAAUGACAAGACUCUAAAUGAUAUAUGCAGCAUUAUUUUGGUUAUAUCCAAUCUUCUUUGAAGGCUAUGUACUUGAAGAUUUUAAUCAAUAAAUAAAAUGAAGUUUAAUUUUUAAAAUAAUAACAUUACAAUGGGAUGGCGAUUGGAAUUGAUUACUUUGGUUAAAAUUUAAGAUUAGAUUAAAAAAAUCAAUUAAUAGAUAAUUCCAUCCAAUCAAAAUAACUAAAUAAAAGACGAGAUUUGAAAAUAUAAUAUCCUAAUAGACACUAAUAGACUUAUAUUAAUAGAUAAUUUCCUGCCGAUGAAAAAUUACUAAAGUUGUACUAUAUUUUAUAAAUAUUUCAAAACAUUACAUAAACACUAAUUAAAGUUGGGUUUAGUAGCAAAAGGUUACAAAUUUAUUGACACCUUUUUUAGGAAAAAAAAUACCUUGACAUGAUGUAAACUAAAUUUGUAAUCAGCAUUGAAAUCUUUACUAUACUAAAUGGGCUCGUGGAGAAAAAAUUAUAUACAUCUAUUUUAUUCUUAAAUUGUCGAAAAAAAAUUAUAUUACCUUUUGUGAUCUAACGUAGUUGUGACUUUUAUAGUGUAAGUGUCCAUUUUAAUGUUUGGAAAGAUGAUUUUUCCAAUUUUUUAGUUUACAAAAUAAAGUUCUAUAUUUCAUAAAAUAAAACCUUAUGUUGAAUAUAUGUAACUAAUGUUGAUAGGAUGUGAUUGGUUGAUCUUCAAGAUACGAUGCAUUCUGUUUAGAGUGGAGAUGGUUGCACACACAUCAAAUUGGUGCAUUGAUUCCUCCAAAUUUACAUGUGAAAUGUAAAUGUAAAAGAAAAACAAAACAAACUCUUGCAGUUACACAUUAGGAAAAAAAAACGUCACGAAAUUCCAAAGUUCAAAAGAAAACAAACAUACACAGGGAUUUAAUUGAUUCAAAGUAGUAACAAAUGGUGAAAAAAUGCAUAAUUUGUUGUGAUUUCACAUUAACAUGUUAGAAUAAAAAAUUAUCGUAUUCUAUAUAUUACAAUAUUGGAUCAAAUAUUAAUACAUUAAUUUAAUUAUUUAAUUACUACAUCAAUGAAUUUCUUUUUCUUUUUUAAAUAAUAAUUUUACCAUUAAUAUUAUAUAAUAUUUGUUUAUUAUAUGCUAAAGCAUAUUUAAAAAUUAAAUAGAAUUAAGAGAUUUCACGUGAAUUUAUGCACAUGUUUCAACUGAAAAGAUGGAAACAAUAGUCACAAAUUAUUUUUUCCUAAAACAAAACAUUCGUAACCAAAUCUAAAUAUGCACUUUCAUAACUAAGGACCAAAACUCAUAUUACGUAGAAUUGAGCAUGGUUUAAAUGAAAUUAUUAACAAAAUACUUACACUUUAAACCAGGUUUUUUGGCAACAUACAUAGUGAGAAAAUUCCAAAUUUACCCUCUUACUUGUAUCUUUUCAAUAAAAAGUGCAUCUUAGUUGUAAUUAUGUCAAAAUAAAAAUAAAAAAAUAACUCGUCAGUUAACGUGGUUAUUCAUUAAUUGAUUUGGGUGAACUUUCUGAAGAUAAAAAUAACAAAAACAAACAAACAAAAGACUAGAACAUGUUAUUUAAUUAUGUAAUUACAACUUCCCUUUCUCCUCCGUGAGAAAAAAAACCAUUUCUCUAAAUUUCAUCUAUAUAUGUGUAUUGAUCAAAUGACCCAUAUCAAUAAGGACACAAAAUUGGCAAAGAACAAAUAAAUUAAAAUGGACAAUAACUCUUGUUUCAUUACUUUCUCUCUCAUUGGAGUUCUUUUGUUCACCAUCAUUUCAAAUGUGGCAUCAUCUAACGACGUUGUUUCUACCAUCUGUUCAGAAAUCUCAAAUCCACAAUUUUGUUUAAGUGUGUUGAAAUCUGCAGGCACUACAGAUCUAAAAGGCUUGGCUGUAUACACCUUAAACCUUGCUCAUUCAAAUGCUGGCAAAUCUUUGAUCCUAGCCAACUCACUAGCAAAAGCCACCACCAAUCCUCAACUUAAGCAACGAUAUUCAUUUUGUGCUGAGAGCUAUGAUGAAGUUGUUGGUGACAUUGAAAAUGCUCAAAACGACUUGGCACUUGGGGACUUUAUUGGUGUCAUUAUUGCAACUACUGGUGCCAUGACAACUCUUGGUGAUCACUGUCAGAAUAAGCUCUUGCAGCCGCCGAAGGAUACAUCGUUGCUUUUAAAGAAUAGCAACACUCUAGAUGAUAUAUUUAGCAUUAUUAUGGUUAUAUCCGAUCAUCUUUGAGGGUUAUGUACUUGAACAUUUUGAUCAAUAAAUAAACUGAAGUUUAAUUUUUAAAAUAAUAUUACAAUGUGAUGGUGAUUGGAAUUGAUUACUUACUUUGAUUAAACUUGAGAAGAUAAAGAAAAUCAAUUAAUAGAAACGUUCACCGACACACAUUGUCAGCACGUCGGAGAAAGCCUAAACUUUUUUUUCUUUUCUUUUACGUUCUGUUUUCUUUUCUUUGUUUGCCAUCAUCAUCGUCAUCUUCUUCUUCUUCUAGCUUCUUACGUUCUGUUUCAAUUGCAUACUUCUGUUAUUCUUGUAAUUUCUUCGUGGUUUUCUUUUUAACUUUGUGUUUCAGUGUGGAUUCAUAAACACAUUUUUCAGUGCUCUGGAUUCUGGAUCUGUUAUGAUUUGAAAGGGUACAGUGAAGUGAAAAGUUGAAAUGGAAAAGAAAAAAAAGAAGAAAAGAGGACACUUCUCGCGGUGGUGGCGGCAAAGACUGACGUCGACGACAACACAACUCUCCUCCUCUCCCUAUAUCUCGGCCGAUUUUGGGUUUAUUUUCGUUUUGCAUUCUGUUAUGUGUAGAAGGGAGAAUAAAUAGUGUGGACUUUCCCCGACAUCUUCGAAAACGUUGGGAAAUUUACCUUUUCGCCGACGUAUGUAGUACACACGUCGGAGAAAGUUUAAAUAAUAAAUUCAUUAUUUAAACUUUCCCCGACGUACUCCUGUCAUACGAGUCUAAAUUAAAUUUAAUGCGUUCUCCUUCGGCGAUGUGUGUCAAGGUGACGUUGGAAAAAGUUUAAACACUAAUGCAAUUAUUUUAAAUCACAUAUGUUAUCGCUUAUAUGGCAUAAGAGUCUAUUAACGAUAGAAAUCUAUCUUGAUAGGUUUUGCUACAUUUACAAUUUUUAAAAAAUAUUCUUAUAUACUUAACUAUUAUUCCUAAAAUUGCUAACCCAUUAUACUUACCCUAAGUUAAAUGUAUAAUGUCAAAAGUAAGUUUACUACGAAGGUAAUCUAUGUGACCCUUUUAUCCUAACGUAGGAAGUUUGUUCCACUCCAUACCAUUAUUGAACUAAAAGGAUUAAGUGUGUAUUAAUAUGUUUAAACAAGUAUAAUUAUAGCAAAAUCUAUAAGUGAUAUAUUGAUAUUAGCAAUACAAUACGCGUCACAUAUGCAAACAUUUUGUGUCUAAUCGUUGUAUUUACAAUUAACUCCAUUAAAAUAUUACAAAUAGAAAUAGAACUCUUUAAUCUAUGUUCAGUUAGGAUCACAAACUACAAAAUGAAAGCAUGGAACAAAUUUAAUUUUUUUUUUCUUUAAAGGAAAUUUUGUGUGUAGCACAUUAUAUUUUUUUCUUUCCUUUAAAAAACAUUAUUGAUCUUAUGAUAUUUGACAUAUAUUAUAUUUUUUUAAGAAUGUAAAUAAUGUAAAUAAUGUGCCAAAUAAUUGAAAACAUGUUAUCCAAAACAGAGAAUGGUUAAGAAAUUGUUGACAUUUAGUCAAAUUAAUAAAUAAUUCAAAAUUGUGUUUGAUUUUUGAAUUUGAAAAGAUAGUAAAUUAGAAGUGUUUUGAAAUAGUAUUUACGAGAAGAUUUUUAAUUUUAAAUAGCAUUAUAGUAGCUAUGGAUGGUUAUAUAAUAGUCUACACAAUCUUUGUCACAAAUGAUUAAUUCGAUUUUUUAAAUCAAGUCUAAUGUUUUUUUUUUUUUUUUUUGCCUAUUUCUUACCAUAAUUUACAUUUUUUGUAAGUAUAAUGGUUGAAUGCAAAAAGAGAGCUGACUAGUAAGUGCAAAAAGAGAUCUCACAAGCUUCUGCAAAAGCUAAUCAAGCAACCCAAAUCAUAAACGAGGAGAAAAGUUGAUUGGUUAAGCUUUGUUGUAGUAAAGAAGUCAAAGUGAACAUGGAACGUUCUUCACUCUCAAAGAACAUCGCCAACAUAUAGAUUAUAUACUUUUUCUGGUAUUGACCCAAAAAACACAAUCCAAGUGUAUUUUUGGUGAGAUGCAUAGUUUAACUAAACCGUGUUAUUACAAAAUUUUUAAUUACUAGGAACUCCUAAUGAAACGAAUACAUUAUUUUUAUAAUUACGAGGUAAAAUGGAAACAUACAAACUACUAAAAAAAGUUGCAAUUCGAUUAUUGGGAUUCAAUCUACUCUCCAUGAAUGUUCUUGAAAUGAGAGUUUUUAAGCAGCUACAACUUGCUUAUGUAUAAAAGCAAAACCCUUCUCAACGCCUACCUUCAGUUUUGGCUUUAGAGCUUCAAGUGAUUUUUGCCCCUACUCAGAUAAACCCUGAAGAUCAGAUGUUACAAAGGCUUCAAUUCCACAUGCAAAAAUCAUGUUCAUGAACCAAAAGCACCUUAAGCUUCUCUUCGAUAUCUUUGAGCUCACUGGAUAAAGAACUGAUUUCUAAAGCAAUCAUCUCUACCAUAUCCUCAUCGUUCCCACUGUCUUUUAAUAAGGUUGGCAUGAUAAUCACAACAAAGAAGAAGAAACUAAGAUCAAUUUAACAAAUUUUAUGUUGGGAAACUUUUUUAAGAACAACUACUUAUAAACCAACCUUAGCUUUGGCCUCACAUUCCUUGAAUUUUCUAAAAGUAGAUACCACCUGUCCGGGCAACCCACACCAACCAACCAAGAGUAAGUUAGUGUGAAAGACACUUAUUUAAUGAAGAAUAUGUAAAAGAGGUCAUUCCAACUGUUACACAUAAUAGUAUUGGAGGCAGAUAACCUUGCCAUACCUCAUCAAGUUCUGAUAUUGAUUGAGCUAGUUUUUGAUACUCUGUGGGGUUUGAGACAAUAUCUGGAUUGACCAGCUUAACCUAAAUAAUAAUAUCGAUAGUGAUUAUUGUGUAGGAAAAUAUUAAAGCUAUAACCAAAUCAAAAGCAUAAUUGGAAAUACAUCAAAGAUGUAAAUGCAAAUUUCAAAAGUGGAUCUACAGAAUGUAAGGGGAAGAAACUCAAAUAAAAUUACUUUAUUAGUUAUACGACUACUAUAGAGAUUCCAGAUACACCACAGUUCCACGUCCUCUUUCAGGAGGAAAGCAAUGGUUAAAAAUUAAUUGUGAAAACUAAAGAAGGUCCUGUUCAAAUCCUAACAGCAAUAGGAAAGCAAGGAGUUAUAAGGUGAUCACUAUAGCCAAAUCCAAAAUGCAUUCAAUAUUUGUCUUCCAAUUUCAUUAUCAAGUGCAUAGGCAAGGUCCCUAGUGAGGAAGUUAUUCGUUCUUUUCUUCAUUUUCUAUAGCUCUAGAAGUAGCUAAAUGGAAUCGUCAAGCACCUAAUCUAUUAAUUUUAAAACUCAAAAGUUCACCGCGGGAUUCUAGUCACUGCUGAAACAACAUAGAGUUCACUAGUUCCACAGUUAAAUUAAUUGCAAAUUGCAUUUCCUGGCAUUUUCAAGAAAAAAAAAAUGCACAAAUCAUAAUAUGAUGAAGUAGAAAAAUUUUGUGAGCUCGACUUUUCCAGGACAUAUCUUAGCUACUUCUCCUAUUCCAGCUCGAUAACCAUUGUACUUUAACAAUUGAAACAUUAAUCCAAUAGUUAACAAUGUUCUGCACUUUAUGCCCUUACAUUUCCAACAACUUGAUGCAUACAUCAGUAGUUAACACAGGCACGAGCUCUUAAAUUCAAUGCAAAAUAACAGUCCCAUUCCAAGCAUAGACACCAAAUACAAACAAUUGAUGGACUUGAAUCAGUGAAGAAAUAAGAAUGUCAUUUAACAGCAAAGCACAAAUUACCGAUAAUUUUUUCCACGUCUUCUCAGCAGAUUCCAAUUUCACGAUCAAAUAAGGUUCCUAAAAUAAAGCAAUCACCAUCAUCAUUUUCCACAAAUAUGAUUCGAACUAGUUUUACCACAAAUUAAUUUCUAGUAACUUGAAGAAAAACUCAGUGAACUCAAAGCAUAACGAAACUCAAGUUCUGUUAAAGCCAAUCCGAACAAUAAGAUAUAGACAUAUUGUGUUCUCGAAAGAAAAACAUUCAAUAAAUCUAACAGCCAUGCAAAUUAGAGUUGAAGCUCUAAAGGGAGGUGCAAAGCAUUUAAGUUCCAGAGAGCAUCUUCUGAAGGCGAUGAGCCCAUAAGAUGAAAAAAAGGCCUCAAGUGAGGAAGAAAGACGCCAUCCAAACAUGAAAAAAGGAAGAAAGGCAAGAUUUUGGUAGCUCCAGACCUGAGGGAAGCCAACAAGGUGGCGAGGGAGGCAAGGCCCCAAAGUUUAGCAUUGCCAGCAAAGUGAAGGUAGAGAAGGACCUUUCCUUUCGACGUGGCCCUCCGAGAGUUUAUGGACGCCCCAAUUGGGGCGUUUGGAUGGAGUAAGUUCUUCAAGGGACUUCCAAGAUUCGAUGGAGGUUGUCAAGAAAUUCUACGCAUCAGAUUACAACCACUACAAGGAAUUUCAGAUCAACCAACACAAUUUAACACUAUUGGGAGAAUCCACGAAUUCUUGGUCAAGUAGAAGAACCUCCAUGUGGAAGAAACAAAUUGUGAACGUGUCGAAGACCUUGAAGUGUGGAAAUGGAAGAUCAAAGAGUUCCAGCUUCGCCAGUCGACAGGGACGUCAACUGUUUAAGUAGGGGAGAAUGUCAAGAGCAUGCUUGUCCAAGGCAUUGUUUGCCCAUGGCCGCAUGGCCGAACAUCCUCAAACCGCCUUAUAUUUAUGUCUUAUACUUAGUUUAGCCAUUUUGUUUCCUUUUGUUGUCGCCGACCUAGGGUGUGACGUUUCAAAAUUUUCAUAUGCAAGUCUGUCAUAGCUAAAAAUGUUUAAAAUGUACUAUAGGGAAGACAUAGUAGUUGAAUCCCUGACCAAGCCUUGUUGCACUCUUUGCAUUCUAAUCUUUCUUUGCAAUUAACAGUCUUCAAUGCUUUCUUUAACGAUGUUUUCAAUUCUUUUCUUCUCUUCUUGUCUUAUAAAAAUAAAUUUCUCUCAAAACAUGAAAGAGGCUAUACCGUACUGCGUGCUUUUUGCGACUUCUGGAUUUCAUACAGCUUACUUGUUCACCGAGCUAGAACAAACGUCGCAUAAUCACCAUCCCCUAUUUGAAAAUUUACGAUUAUGACAGCAUGCGGUGAGGUGCACGCGGCAUGUGUGGGCCCAAGCCAAGCAUGCAACUGGCAUUCUGAUACUCUAUGCACGUGCAUGCUGCCUGCGCCCAUGCCGUGCAGCCAGCAUUGUCAUGACGUAGUUUUUGGGAUGUUUGGUGUUUUGGGAAAUUUUGAGCAAAUUCUGGAUGUUCGAGCAUGCGGAUGUUCUAUGCAAUGCAACCAGCAGCCCAUAUGUUCUAUGUUCUCUUUACGGUCGUAUGUGCACAUUUGGUUAACUCUACUACUAAUGGGAAAGUUGACGAGCCUAUGCUGAAUUCAUCAGGAAAGGUGUACUUUGUUGAGCCCAUUGAGGAGAAGGAUACCUUCUUUUUUCGAAGAGGUGUUUCAAUGCCUAGGCCGUCUUUUGACAAUGAGGUGUUAAUAUUACCUAGACUUCAUGCUAAGAACGGGUUGUGAAUUUAUAAUCAAGAAUGCAGUUCGAGUAUCAUGUCUUUCAAAUGAUUUCCAACAGCUUGAAUGUUUCUAUAAGACAAGAAUUUAUGCUUAACUGUUUUAGAAAGCAUGUUUUAUAAAAAUUGUCACUCACUAAGUCUUUCGACUUAUCCUUUCAAAUCAUUUCUCACUUUUCAGGUAUGGAUUAUGCAUUCCCUAAUGUUAAGCGUAUUGCUGCUGAGCCAACCAGUUACUAGAAAUUGUUAAGUCAUUUUGAAAGUUAGUUUUGACUUUGUAAGAAAAGUUCAGGAUGAGCAUGUCUAUGUUUAUUGUUAAAGUUCCAAUGUUAUAAGUUAGUUUAGUAAAAAGGUCACUGUCAUGUUUAAAGCUUCUGCUGAUGUAUCACAAUAGUUGUAACUAGUGGUUUAAGUUAUUAGUAAAAGCAUGUAGCUUGUAUCGCUGUUUGUUUUGAGCAUGCAUUCAUGUUGUAACUGGUAGUUAAGUUAGAAAGGUUAGUCGGUUGGUAAGUUUUGCCAAGGUAUGGCAAUCCUUGCCAACCCUCGCACCUUCUUUCAGAGCUAGAUGUUGUUCAGAAAAUAAGGAGCUUUGGGAGGGGGUGGUGACAACAACACCAUCCCACUAGAGUACGCAAUGAUGCAUUAUUGUUUAAUUAAGUCAUAUAUACUUCCACAAUUUGGAUAGGAAUUUAACUCAUUAGAAGGUGUCCUAUAGAAUUUCUCAGUGAAAAGUUCAGAGAAGCUACAAACAAAUGUCACUACCGAACAACAAUCAUAUACAUGGGUUAGGGCUUUGAGCAGUGUGAACACAACUUAAUAAUAAAUAUGAAGUCGUCCUCUUUUCAUCAUUAGUCAGAAGAAUUCUUAAACUUUCUAAAAAUAAUUGUCAAAUAAUUGAUUAUAUAGUAUGCCAUUUAUUUGGAAUACAAUUUUUUCAUUACCAGGAAAGGAGACUUCUCACUAAGUAAAUGUAAAGAGACUAAUGCUAUAAUUUGAAUUGGAAAAUAUAAUUUCAUAAUUAAGCAUCGAAUAGGGACUAGUUAAGAAGUACACACUUUAGUUUGCCAGAGUCCAUGUUCUACACAUGUUAGCCACUCUGUCAUUGGUUUAGCAGUAAAACAAAGGAUGUGUUUAGGAUGUGAGCCACACAAAAGGGAAAGAAAACAGAAGGCGCAGUGAGCCACACAAAAGGGAUCGAAACGAAUGUUCAGAAAUAUCGGAAGGAUCGAAGAAAUAUGGAAGGAAAGACGAGGAAAAAACAACAGACCGGAGCAAGUUCAAGAAGGUAGAGAUCCCGAUCUUCAAUGGAAUAGACCCCGAUUCAUGGUUAUUUCGCGCCGAUCGUUAUUUCAAGAUACACAAGUUGACUGACUCAGAGAAGUUAAUGGUAGCGGUAAUCAGUUAUUAGGACCAGCUUUGGAUUGGUAUAGAUCAAUUGAUGAAUUGGAACAAUUCAAGAGUUGGGAAGAUUUGAAGCAAAGGUUGUUGUCCGAUUUCAGACGAUUCGGGAUGGAACACUCGUAGGCAGAUUCUUAAGGAUUAAGCAGGAAACGACAGUAGGGGAAUAUAGAAACAGUUUCGAUAAAUAUUUAGCUCCGGUAGCCUUCCUCCAGACCAUAGUAUUAGAAGAAACCUUUAUGAAUGGGCUAAGCCCAUGGCAUAAAUCCGAAGUUGAAACGCUGGAGCCCAUAGGUUUGGCCAAGAUGAUGUAACUAGCCCUGAAAUUGAAAAUAGAGAGAUGGUUCGUCGAGAAUGUGGGCUUAGUAGUGUUUCGGGAAUGAAUCAACAAUUCAAGCAUAAUAACGUAAAGCAAACCUCGACAGUAACACCCAAUCAGAAACCCACGGAAGGGAGCUGGCCAAUGAGAACGAUUACGUUAAAAAGAGUGACGGCAGAUGAAAAGAGGAGGGAAGGUCCGACCAAGCGUCUUUCCAACGCUGAAUUUCAAGCACGGAGGGAAAACGGUCUGUGUUUUCAGUGUGAGGAGAAGUAUCACGCUGGACAUAGGCGUAAGGUGAAGGAACAGAAGGAAUUACGGAUGUUAGUAGUAAAGGAAAUGGGAGAAGAACUGGAAAUCAUUGAGGAUGAACACUUUGAUGUGGAAACGGAGGCCCAGACCAUUGAAAUUGAAAAAGUGGAGAAUAUGAAUAUAGAGCUGUCCAUUAACUCAAUUGUGGGGUUAUCCAACCCUGGAACCAUGAAACUGAAAGGGAAGAUAAAAGAGACCAAAGUGGUAAUAAUCAUCGACAGUGGAGCCACCCACAGUUUUAUUGCAAAAAAUUUUGUAACCACCCUUAGCCUACCAAUGACAGAAACGUCCAACUAUGGAGUGAUUUUGGGAUCAGGGGUUGCGGUCAAAGGAAAAGGAAUCCGCAGUAAUGUUGAAGUGACGGUAGGAGAGUGGAAAAUUACAAACAACUUUUUACCCUUGGAAUUAGGGGUGGUUGCACUCAUUGGGCAUGACUGAAUUUGAUAUGAAAAAUUUGGUGAUGACAUUCCGACAUGGAGGAAGGAAGAUAGAGAUAAAGGGGGACCCUAGUGUCACCAAAACCCAAGUGAGCCUAAAGUCUAUAAUUAAGACAUGGGGAGCUGAUAAUCACGGUUAUUUGGUAGAAUGUCGGGCCAUGGAGGGAAGGCUAGCUGAGGAAGGCUUAGAGGAUGAAGAAGUGCCAGCCACUGUUGACAACAUGAUCUCUCCUCUGUUGAGCAAAUUUAAUGAUGUUUUUGAUUGGUUGGAAGAGCUGCCUUCGAAGAGGAACAUUGAGCACCAUAUACCCCUUCAGAAGGGGGUGGAUCCAGUUAAUGUCAGACCUUAUCGUUACGCACAUCGGCAAAAGGAGGAAAUUGAAAGACUAGUUGAUGAAAUGUUGAAGACAGGCAUCAUAUGACCGGGUACCAGUCUGUAUUCCAGCCCAGUCCUUCUCGUGAAAAAGAAAGAUGAUAGCUGGCAAUUUUGUGUAGAUUAUCGGGAGUUGAACAAUGUCACUAUCCCAGAUAAGUUCCCAAUUCCGGUCAUAGAUGAGUUAUUCAAUGAGCUGAAUGGGGCCAACAUGUUUUCGAAGAUUUAUUUAAAGGCGGGUUAUCACCAAAUCAGGAUGCAUCUGAGAGGUGUAGAGAAGACGGCCUUUCGAACACAAUGAGGGACACUAUGAGAUUCUUGGUCAUGCCCGUUUGAGCUAACCAAUGCCCCCUCUACGUUCCAAGCAUUAAUGAACCACAUCUUUAAGCCUUAUAUGAGAAAGAUUCGUAUUAGUGUUUUUCGAUGACAUUUUGGUGUACAACAGGGGAGUAGAAGAACAUGGACAGCAUCUGGAAGUAGUCUUGGAGAUCCUUCGAGAGAAUGAAUUGUAUGUGAAUUUAGCCAAAUGUUGCUUUGCCAAAAGUAGAAUAGGUUAUUUGGGGCAUUUCAUAUCCGAAAAGGGAGCUAAAGUUGAUCCAGAAAAAAUAAGGGCAAUUAGGGGAAUGGUCGAUUCCCACUAGUGUGCGAGAAGUUCGAGGUUUCUUAGGACUCAAUUGAUACUAUAGGAAGUUUGGGCAGAAUUAUGGCAGUAUCGAAAGCCCUUUGACACAGCUUUUGAAGACAGGAACUCAUUGUUGGACUGAAGAAGCAAGUGCUGCCUUUGAGAAGUUGAAGAUGGCAAUGAUGAUUCUACCGACGUUAGCUAUGCUGGACUUUAAUCUACCACUCGAGAUAGAAACAUAUGUAUCUUGUUUUGGUGUGGGGCCGUUUUAGUACAAGCCAAGAGACAAAUAUCCUUCUUUAGUAAAACCUUAUGCAUGUGGGAUAGAGCGCGACUGGUUUAUGAAAGAGAAUUGAUAAUAGUAGUGUUUGCGGUGCAAAGGUGGAGACCAUAUUUGUUAGGGAAGAAAUUUACAGUGAAAACUGAUCAGAAGUCGCUCAAAUUUCGGCUAGAACAAAGGGUGAUUCAACCCUAAUACCAAAAAUGGAUAGCCAAUCUUUUGGGAUAUUCAUUUGAGGUAGUCUGCAAUCCUGGAUUGGAGAAUAAGGCAGCCGAUGCUCUAUCUAGAACACCCCGUAUAGUGCACUUAAAUCAAAUAUCAGCCCCAACACUACUCGAUUUAGUGGUGAGUCAAGAAGAGGAAAAGAGGGAUCAAUACCUACAGGAAAUCCAGAAGAAAAUAGAAAGAACAAAAAGUGAAAGUUCCAAACUUUUCAGUACAGCAAGGGGUAUUGAAAUACAAAGGAAGGUUGGUGCUGUCAAAAACAUCCGUUCUACUACCCACUAUCAUGCAUACCUAUCAUGAUUUUGUCUUUGGAGGACAUUCAGGGUUCCUAAGAACGUACAAGAGGAUGACCGGAGAGAUUUACUAGGAAGGAAUGAAGAAAAACAUAAAGAAAUACUAUGAAGAAUGUCUUGUAUGCCAAAGGAAUAAAACACUUGCAUUAUUACCUGCUGGAUUGCUGCUGCGCACUUGAGAUUCCUAACACAGUGUGGUCGGAUAUUUCCAUGGAUUUUAUAGAUGGACUUCCAAAAUCAGCUGGAAAAGAAGUGAUUUUUGUGGUUGUAGAUUGUCUGAGUAAGUAUGCACAUUUUACAGCUAUAAAUCAUUCUUACAUGGCCAGCUUCGUAGCAGAAGUUUUUGUUAAAGAAGUGGUGAGAUUGCACGGUAGCAUGUAUCCGCAGUAAGUUGUAUCGGAUCAAGACAAAAUCUUUAUUAGUCAUUUCUGGAAGGAAAUGUUCAAGUUAGUGGGAACUAAAAUAAAUAGAAGGAAAUGUUCAGGUUAGUGGGAACUAUGCCCAUAUACACCAAGUUCGAAUAUAGAACUUGCUUCUUACUGAAAAAAUAAUGAUUAUGGGACUUGCUAUAAGGGUAUCCAAUACUCGAAGUAAAUGAAUGAUUACAAAAUGAUUGUUUCCUCAGUUUGAAGAAGAACAACAAAAAAGAAAAGAAGGAUAAAAAUAAAAAAAAAAACAAACUUUCUUUUUGAAAUUCUAAAAGAAUCCAAAAAGACUUCAAAAGGUGCAACCAAGAAAGGAGGUCAAAGAAGGGCUCUGAUAGACCCCCCUAUCAUACGUCAAUAUAGUCAAAAAAAAAAAGAGAGAGAUCACAAGGGAACACACAUGCGAAGAAGAAAAGAUUUAAAGGAUUGUUAGAAGAAAAGAUUUAAAAAGCUUGUUGGGCGUCGGUUAGAUUUGAGGAGAUUUAGGAGGGUCGUUAGGUGUUGAUUAGAAUAAAUAAGGAUAGGGAGGAAAGAGGAGGGUAUGCUGAGUUUAGAAGAAAAUUGACUCAUGCUCUUCCUUGAGCGAUAGGAUAGCAGAGAGGGAAUUAGAUUGUUUUUCGAAUUGAGUCCUCCUCAAUUUGAGUGUUCUGAUAUUUUGAUUUUCCUUGUAACUCAUUCUUUGAUUGAAGCAAUAAAAGUUCUAAUUGGAUUUCCAAAAGAGUUCUAUCAAAUUGGUAUCAGAGACAGUUUUUUCUGACCAAGAGGAAAAUGAUGGUCCAAACACGAAUGAAGGAGAGAAUGGAGGCGCACGACCAGGAGAUGCAUUUGAUGAGAAGCGAGAUAAGCAAAAUUUCGACAAUGAAAGAAAUAUUAGCCACGAUCAGCGUACAGACAAAGAAGACUCACAAAAUGUUGAUAAUGUUCAUGGAAUCGAUUACCAGAGAGCAUAUCGUUAUGAGUGAGAAAAUGGCCGAGUCGAGUGUGCGAGAGACAGUAUCAACAAUAACGAAUAAGAAGGAAGGCUCGAUCGAAAAGGACCAUGAGCACGAAACAAAGGAUGGAAAGAUAGAAGGAGAAGACGGAGCGAACGAGCAUAAUAAGUUCAAGAAGGUUGAGAUGCCAGUUUUCAACACGGAAGAUCCCAAUUUUUGACCCUUUCGAGCAGAUAGAUAUUUUCAGAUACACAAAUUGACUGAUGCUGAGAAGGUCCUGGUUGCGACCAUUAGUUUUGAAGGCCCGACGCUGAACUAGUAUAGGGCGCAAGAAGAACACGACAAGUUUACCAGUUGGUCGAACCUCAAGGAGAGAAUACUCAUCCGUUUUCAAUCAGCAAAAGAGGGGUCCAUAUGCGGACAAUUUUUUAGGAUCGGAUAACAGACGACAGUAGAAGAAUAUCGAAACCAGUUAUAUAAGCUGAUGGAACCGUUAUCCGAUCUACAAGACAGAGUGGUGGAGGAAACAUUCAUGAACGGUUUACUGCCGUGGAUUAAAGCAGAAGUGGAUUUUUGUCGUCCGGUCGACGUGGCUCAAAUGGUGCACGCGGCUCAACUCGUAGAAAAUCGAGAGAUAAUUCACAAUGAGGCCAACCUUAAGGGGUACGCCCAAGGAAAAUAUCCGCCUCAAGGUUCUAGGCAAAAUACGAGUGCUGCGACGGUGAACGAUAGCGACAAUAAGAGAAAUACAUUAUUUUCGAUGAGAACGAUUACUCUGAGAACGACAUCCAGAGAAGUUAAGAGAGGGGCAGGCAAAGCGAUUGUUAGACGCGGAGUUUCAAGUCAGGAAGGAAAAAGGACAUUGUUUCCGUUGUAAUGAGAUAUAUUAUCAUGAUCAUCGAUGCAAAAACAGAGGGCAAAGAGAGUUGAGAAUGUACGUGGUCAGGGCGAAUGAUGAAGAAUUUGAAAUCAUAGAAGAAGUGGGAGAAAAUGAAUUGUUUGGAAAUCACAUAAGAAGAUCAUGUUGUCAUCGAACUGUCAAUUAAUUCGGUGGUGGGGCUGAACAAUCCGAGGACAAUGAAGGUGAGGGGGAAUAUCAGUGAGCGAGAAGUUUUCAUUUUCAUUGAUUGUGGAGCAACGCACAACUUCAUCUCCGAAAAGAUAGUAAAGGAGUUACAACUGGCCACGAAGGCAACGUCGCACUAUGGUGUAAUCUUGGGCUCGGGGGAGGCGAUAAAAGGUAAAGGAGUAUGUGAGGACGUGGAAAUCAAGUUGAACGGGUGGAAGGUGGUGGAAAAUUUGUUACCCUUAGAAUUGAGAGGGGUAGAUGUUGUGUUAGGAAUGCAGUAGUUGUAUUCAUUGGGCAUGACGGAAGUAGAUUGGAGGAACCUCACAAUGACUUUUGUGCAACAAGGAGAAAAGGUAGUGAUAAGAGGAGACCCAAGUUUGACCAAAUCCAGAGUGAGUCUCAAGAACAUGAUCAAAAGGUGGAAGGAUUCGUGAUCGAGUGCCGAGCAAUGGAGAGAGUCUUUGAGCCACAGGAAGAUAACGGGAUUGAAGAAGUAUUAACUACUGAUGAAGCAGUAUCGGUCGUGUUGAAGAAUUUUGAAGAUGUUUCUAAUUGGCCGAAGACACUACCCCCGCAAAGAAAUAUUGAACAUCACAUUCAUUUGAAACAGGGCACUGAUCUGGUAAAUGUUCGACCCUAUAGAUACGCUUAUCAACAGAAAGCUGAGAUGGACAAACUUGUGGAUGAGAUGUUGACAGCUGGAAUUAUCCGUCCCAGCAACAGUCCAUAUCUAGUCCAGUUCUAUUGGUAAUGAAAAAAGAUGGCAGCUGGCGUUUUUGCGUAGACUACCAAGCGCUGAACAAUGUAACCAUUCCAGACAAAUUCCCUAUUCCGGUGGUUAAGGAGCUUUUCGAUGAAUUAAAUGAAGCAAACUGGUUUUCAAAGAUUGAUUUGAAGGUGGGGUACCAUCAGAUCAAAAUGUGUGGAGAAGACAUCGAAAAAGCAGCAUUCCGAACACAUGAUGGACACUAUGAAUUUAUGGUUAUGCCAUUCGGCUUAACUAAUGCCACAUCCACUUUCCAAGCUCUGAUGAACUCAACAUUCAAACCAUUUUUGCAGAAGUUCAUAUUAGUGUUUUUCGACGACAUACUAAUCUACAGUGAGAACUUGGAACACCAUUUGAAGCACAUUGGGUUAGCAUUGGAAAUCCUGAGAAAGAAUGAGUUAUAUGCAAACAAGAAGAAGUGCAGCUUCGCACAAGAACGUAUUGAUUAUUUGGGUCAUAUCAUUUCAAGACAAGGAGUUGAAGUGGACCUUGAGAAAAUCAGAGCAAUCACGGAAUGGCCUAUACCCAGUAAUAUAAGAGAGGUACGGGGAUUCCUAGGCCUCACCUGUAACUAAAGAAAGUUCGUUCAGCACUAUGGCUCCAUUGCCGCACCAUUGAUUCAACUACUUAGGAAAGGGGGAUUCCAGUGGACUGAGGAGUCUAAGGAGGCAUUCCAACAACUACAAAAUGCGAUGAUGACCCUGCCCGUUUUGGCGUUGAAAAAAUUUCAAUGCCACAUUUGAAAUGGAAACCGAUGCAUCGGGAUAUGGGGUAGGAGUCGUACUCGUCCAAGCCAAGCGUCCCAUAGCAUACUUUAGUCAUACGUUAGCCUCAAGAGAUAGAGCCAAGCCUGUACAUAAAAGGGAAUUAAUGGCAGUGGUCUUGCAUGUGCAACGAUGGCGACCAUAUCUGUUGGGGAGAAAAUUUAUUGUGAAGACCGAUCAGAAAUCCUUGAAGUUCUUGUUAGAACAAAGAGUGAUACAGCUUCAGUAUCAGAAAUGGGUAGCGAAGCUAACGGGAUACUCAUUUGAGGUGGUCUACAAACUCAGCUUGGAGAAUAAAGCAGUAGACGCCUUGUCUUGGAUGCCUCCUACAAUUAACCUCGGUAGCAUAACAGCUCCUACAUUGGUUGACAUUCUGGUGACUAAAAAGGAAGUCAAAGCGUAUGAAAAAUUAAGCAAAAUAAUGGAAGAACUACAAGCAAUGGAAGAAGUAACAGAGGGUAAAUUCUCCAUCCGACAAGGUAUGUUAAGAUAUAAGGAUAAGUUUGUGUUGUCCAAAACAUCUACAUUGAUACCCACAAUCCUACAUACUUACCAUGAUUUGGUACUUGUGAGGAAUGUGUAAUAUGUCAGAAGAACAAGUCCCUAGUGUAACGAGCAUACUUGUCCAAGGUGUGUUUACCUAUGGCCGUAUGCUCCGAUUAGCCCCAAUUUACCUUGUCUUUAUGUCUUGCACGUAGCUUAGGUAGUUGCUUUCAAUUUCAAGUCGAUAUGCUUGGGUGUGACGUUUCGGCAUUUUCAUAUGUUAAAAAUGUACUAUAGGGGAGGCAUACCUGUUGAAUCCCUGCCCAAGCCUUGUCGUACUCUUUGCAGUCUAUGCUUUCUUAUUGCAAUUGACAGUCUUCAAUGCUUGUUUUAACAACGUUUUCAAUCAAUUUAAUCAUCUUUCAUGUUUUCUAAAACUAUUUUUCCAAGAACGUGAGGGGAGGUUGAAGUAUGUGUUAAAGUUGUCUGCGAUUUGCAGAUUUUGAUCGGCUGACUUGUUCGCCGAGCUAGAACAAGUGCCGCACAAUCGUUCACAUCGUGUUUGAAGGGUUACACAGUAAAGGAAGAGUAAGAAUUUGAGUGGAGAAACUCCAAUUGGGAUCAACACGUGGGCAACAACAUGGCUUCUCACCAACAUGAGAACUCAAAAGAGACAGCAGAUAUUCUAGAGAAGCCAAUGAACUCUUGGGAUGUGAAUCUGCACUUUCCUGCAAUAGUUUGAGUGUGAAUUAGUUCUCUGAAAACACCUGCAGAGGAUAAUCCACGGCAAAACAGAAUAACUAUAAAAAAACCACUUGCAAGUAGAAGAAAAAGGAAGUACAUUUAUACCUUCCCUGUCAAAGUGAUAUCCCUCAUCAACGGAUAUGCAUUUCUUUCCAGGAAGUAGCCAACAAUUUUACAAACCCAUGGGAGUUUAGGUUGUAAUAAGAAAACAAUUGUGUCCAACAAUAGAGUUGCAGGUGUGUUAGAGUUCACAGGUGCAGCCAAAAGUUGAUUCCUCAAUUGGUUUCUAUCAAGAACAACAUCAAGUAAGAAUAAUUCGGAGGAAAAAUAAAGGCAACUUAUCAUAUAUAUAAAUAUGAUUAGUCUGAAUUCGUUUGCGGAAGGUAAAAAAACCUUUAUGUCAAUUAUAUAUAUCUGAACAAAAUCUAAGAAAUAUAUCACUUUUCAACAAAAGAAAUAUAUCAUAUACAAUUAAAGGAUCAUAGCAUAGAAAGCCAACAAAAUCAACAAUGAUAGAUCAAACAUCUGUUUUUCCAUUCAAAACGUUAAAAAGGAUAAGUUUUUAAUAAGGAAUGUUGAAAUGGAAAAAACUAAUUACCUAUUAUGGUGUACAAUCUGGAUGCAAGCAUAUGCAAAUUUCUUAACUCUGUAAUCCACUAAGGCCUUGUUAAGUACAUAAUCCUUGCUAGCGAAAAUGCUCAACAUAUCCCCUAUAUAUGUAAGAGAGAGAAAGGUUAGAAAGUACUAACACUAAGAGAUAUGUGCUAUCAAUUAGAAACACUUUAAGAUGACAUUAUCAAUUAGAAAACCAAGUAUUAAGCAACAUAAGGGAAAAUAACAAACAAGGGCACCACAGUGGUUCAGAAACCAAUCAAUAUUUCCAUUUGUCACUUUUAUAAUAAUUUCCCAAGGGAAAAUCCUCAUAAUAAGCUUGAGUACCACCUAAUAACGUGUUCAAAUGUUACCAUAAGCAAAAAUGAGUGAUCCUAAAAUUCAUAUGACAAGGAAAGUCGUCAACUAGCAACCGCCAAAUAACAGUUAUAUGGCUAGAAUUAGUUUUCUCCAACUUCAAGAAAAUAAAACAUAUUAAAACAAAAGGAAUUAUGGUGCAAAAUAAUGAAUAUGCCUGCAAAGGUAAGAAGUUUCUGAAGGUAAAAAUGGUCAAUAAAAAACAACAUAUAAUUUGACGUAAAUCAAAGUAGAAUUAUUUCUCGCAAUGAAUUCUCUGCCAAUAAUGGCUAAGAGAAGGGGUAUUUAUUGAGAAUUAGUUGGCCAGGCAGAAAUCAUCUAGGGCAUAGUAUUGUUUUAGGUCUGCGACAUUAAAAACAUAAUGAAUGUGUAAGUCUGGUGGUAGUUCUAUUUUGUAAGCAUUAUCUCCGAUCCUCUUUAGGACACGGAAUGGUCCUAAUUGUCUGUCUUUUAGUUUGUUGUAUGUUUCGGUUGGAAAUCGAUUUUUUCUUAGGUGAAUCAUUACUAAAUCUCCCUUGGUAAAGGUAGUUUGUCUUCUUUUUCUGUCUGUUGCGUCUUUGUAGGACUGAGUUGUUUCUUUUAGGUGAUUGUGGACUUCUUCGUGUAAAUUCUGGAUUUUUUCUAUCAUCUUUUCUGCCUCUGAUAGUUAGGGAACUCAACACAUUUUACUUGACCUAACCAAGAUGGCUCUUUGUAUGUAUAUUGCAUGUGUUGUUUGUUUUUUCUAUAGCUCUUGAUUGUCUCACUUUUUUACGUUUUGCAUUUGCAAUUCUCUUUUCUUUCUUUGGUAUGCAAUGUGGUAACAAGGUCUUGCUAGAGCCGGUGGGCUAACCUUUCUAUGGUUCUAAACUUAGUUUCUAAGUUUGAUUGCUCCCUUCGGAGUGACAACAAGCCUCGUUUUCCCCUACUAUGGAAUGGGGAGGAUUCAUUUUCUUUUCAAAGCCCUCGUCAAACUCAAUGCUAAGUUUGACUGCUCCCUUCAAAGUGACAACAAGCCUUGUUUUCCCCUAAUGUGGAUCGGGGAGGAUUCCUUCUCUUUUCAAAGCCCUCAUCAAACUCGAUGUUGUGUUUAGAACGCUAAGAGUAGGUGGUCUGGUUUUGGUUAGGCCAAAAGUGAAGUUUUCCCCCAUUUUUUAUGGGCUUUUUCUAAUGUAUAUUGGAUAUGUUGUUUGAUUUUUUUUAUAGCUCUUGAUUGUCUUACUGUUUUAUGUUUUGCAUUGUCAAGUCUCUGUUUUCUUUCUUUGGUAUGCAAUGUGGUAACUAGGUCUUGCUAGAACCGGUAGGCUAACCUUUCUAUGGUUCUACAUUUAGUUCCUAAUUAAGUUUGAUUGCUCCCUUCGGAGUGACAAUAAGUUUUGUUAAUGUCGACCCUUUUCUAAAGGGAUUUAGUUCACUGUGGCUAGGCAAGAGGUUUCUAACUCAUGUUUGACAAGACAAAUUUGUUAAAACCAUCUUAGUUUUUAAAGAGUGCCUCCUAUCCCUUUUUUACUCUAUCUAGGCUAGGUUUGGACUAAGUGCAUCAUAGGUUAGUCACGACAAAGCAACAAAGGAAGACAAAGCUAGAAAAGUAUUCAUGCACUUAUUUAUUAUACAUGCAAUCAAGCAUUCACAACAUACAUACCAUUUUCUCAAUCAUGCAUUCACACCUCAAUAAGAAAUAGCUAAAAGGAGCUUAAAACAAAAAAGACAGCCGCUUAUUCUCAAAUUUCAGCACAUAUACUCAUCAAAAUUUAGAAUUUCACAUUGCAAACCCGAGCUCAGUGCUCAAGGGUUGCCAAUCAUGCUUUUUAUGCAAGAUCUAAUUAAGCUAAGAAGGUAUAAUGCUCAUUUUGUAUGGAAAGAAUUCUGAAAUUUUUUAAAAUUUGGGCAAAAUUUGAACCCCGAAGUUUAGACUAAACAUGCAAGCUAAGCAAGCUAUUACCCACACCCACUCAAAAAAUUGCUUUGUAUGUCCUAAAAGCUUUUGAAAAUCAAAGUAAAUGGAGAAAAAUAAGGGGGGAACUUUGGACUCCCCUAGAAGGAUCGACAUCCUUGACUUUGGUUUGAAGCUUGCAUGGAUAAACCUUUUCAUUCCUUUUUAAUUGAUUAUUCAUCGUUGUUCCUGAAAAUCAAAGGAAAUUCUCUCAAUUUUAUAUAUUACUAAAAUUAGGAUACAUAUAAGUCUUAACUAGUCUAAUAGCACCCUCCAUUCAUCUUCCCCUACACUGGCUAUGGUAUCAAAAUUUUCAAUUAAGUAAUACGUCUACUAACAAACUUGAAAACAAAAGACAUCACACUAAAAAACACAAACAUCACUUUAACCCAACAGAAGCUGCUCUUUUUACCCUUGCACUCACUAUCACAUUACUAUCAUGUUUGUCAACUGUCAAACUAACUCUUUUAAGUUAUUUAGUGUGACUACAAAGUUAUUAACACCAUAAUCUUAAUUAAAACCUUUUAAUAAACAAAUGCCAAGUUACUACUCAACAAUGGCAAGGAAUUCAAAAAACAUGACUGUAACGACCCAACUUUUCUAAGUAAGUCGAUGUCAUUAAUUUCAAAUAAGGACCUGAGUUUACACAAAAUCUCAAUCUCAAACAAUUUCAAAGUCUCAAGAAAAACAAAAAUUUAUAUCUGGGCCCUGUUUAAAAUAACCAGCACCUUCAAGACAAAUUUACUAAUUCGUGAAUACAGUUCAACUAUAAAAUUUUCUAAACAAUCUCAAGUACUAAACAAAACACGUGAAACAAAACAUUUAGUGGAAGCAAUUUAAAAUAACCCCUAUGGCAAUCACGCUUCCUUUCUGCCCCUCGCCGGUUUGGCGUCUUUAUUACCUUUGCCUGAAAAUUAAACAUAAGGAGGGUGAGUAUAAAAAUACUCAGUAAGAGACCCUCUACUGGUCCCGUCAGGGGAAAAUAAAUUGUUAACAUUCUAUUGGGACACCCUCUACAGUCACAGUCUUGUGAUCCCGUAGGAUGCACAUUUCAGUCUAACACCCCGAAGGACGUACAUUUUAGUCUAGUGUUCUGCAGAAACACAUAUCAGUCUAAUGCUCCUGAAGGUGCAAAAUAAUUGGUGAUCCGUGGGACACCUACAAGGCACACAUCCCAAUAAAAGCUAACAAUUUUUCCCCUCAGUCCAUUCUAAACAUCUUAACAGUCAUUCACAGAUCAGUUAAACAUUCUCAUCACGUAAACUCCUUAUUUAACCUCAAACAGUCGUCUUACUCUAAUUUAGUCCAAGGUCAAUAAAAAAACAUAUCAUUACAUCAGUUAACAAACUAAACAAUCAUAACCUCCUCCUCAGUCACCAAGGGCACCACCAUGACGUUUCUUCCGUUCACAAGCACACAACAUAACAGUAGAUUAUACACUCAGUCUAGACAACAAUCAAUCUACUAAUCAAAUCCACACUUUAUAUAAGCAACAUCUACGAGAUUCAGUCUUUUCCACAUCCUUAUCUUUGUACACAUACAUAACCAGACAGUCACAACAUAUACUCAACCACAGUCUACAUCAAUCCAUGCACAUAUAUGUAUUAAUUUCUCACAGUCAAACAUAGCAAACAUUAAACUUUAAGUCAAUGCCCAAACAUACAUCAUAACAGUCAUCUCUACUCAGUUCAAAUAUAAUAAUACGGUCCAUACAGUCAAUACAUCUUAAUAAGUCAUUAUAUCUUAAUUUUGUUGUUGAGUCUAGUAGAAAAUCUCUUACUUUCAAGUUAGUUAAGCUCCUUAACCACGUUGAAGUCUACGAAGAACGAACCUAAACAUUAAGACAAUUUCUCAAUAAUUCUCUUCAAGGCAUCAAUCAUUUAAAUUCAACCCAAUGUGAUUUAUUUUUUACAACUUACCCAAAUCUUCACGAAACGAGUUCCAAUUAGAAUCAAUUGUUUGCUGUGAACCCAAGGAAUUCGAGCGUUACCUUCAACCUAUAAUCGAACAAGUAAACGAUUUAUCCAACCAAUUAAUCCAGCAAUAUUACUUGAGUUUAUUUUGGAAACAGUUACAAAUUUCAUAACUUCAAUCUUACCAAUCAAAAUUUAAUGACUCGUGGCAAAGCAGGAACGACAGCGAACAACCCAAUCGAAUGGCGUGGGUUUGCUACCUGCGGCAGAACGAAGAAGGAACUCGACGCGCAGAAAGUUGGAUCUGGGGUCUUUAGUUCGGUUCACGGUAGCGAAUGAAAACCUGAUUGCGCAGACGUCAAAGGUGUUAUUCGCGGAAGAAGUCGAGCAGCAGCUUUGUGAAGAGACGACGUGCGAGGAGAGACUGUAUACAGACGGACGGAGAGUCGCGCGACAGUGCAGAAAACGGAGGAGAAAGGAAUGGGCGGCGGCUGGGCUUGGCUUCGACGGAGACAGAGGCGAUUAGGACGGGGCACGGCGACGCAGAUCUGGACGACGGCGCGGAGACAGAGGUUGCGCGGCGCUGGGCAGAGGGUCACACGGCGCUGGGCGAAGGGUCACACGGCGCUGGGCGGAAGGUCACACGGCGGCCUUGCUUCGCGAACAGAGAUGGCGGUCGACGGUUGCAGCGGCGGCUGGGUAUGGUAGAAAAGAAAGAGAAACGGAAGAAGAAUAGGGGCGGCGACCGUGGAUUGGAGAAGAAAAGAAGGAGGAAAGCGAUGGUGGUCGGUUGGAGGGUGCGGCUGGAGGUAGGGAUCGGUGAAGGAGAAAAUAGAAAAAGAAAAUGAAGGGGAAAGGGGGGUUGGGCGCGAGAGGAAGAAGAAAGGAAAAAAAAUUCUGUUUUUUUUUUUUCUUUUAUUUAAAUUAAAUAAUAAAACUAAAAUAUAAAUAAAUAUAUAUAUAAUUAUAUUAUCACAUUUUCAAAUCUUCUUUCUCCCCCUUCAACAUAUUUUCUUCAAAAAAAUAAAUCUUGUACAAAUCGAAUAAUUUUCUUAAAAUAAAUUACCUUCGAGUUUGGGGCGUUACAAUGACAGCUAUAUUGUAACUUGGCACUUGGGGACUUUAAUGGUGUCAAUAUUGUAACUUCUGGUGCCAUGACAAAUAUUGGUGACUGUCAAGAUAAGUUCGCAUAGCCACCGAAAGAUACAUCGUUGCUUUUGAAAAAUGGCAAGACUCUAAAUGAUAUAUGCAACAUUAUUUUGGUUAUAUCCAAUCUUUUUUUAAGGCUAUGUACUUGAAGAUUUUAAUCAAUAAAUAAAAUGAAGUUUAAUUUUUAAAAUAAUAACAUUACAAUGGGAUGGCGAUUGGAAUUGAUUACUUUGGUUAAAAUUUAAGAUUAGAUUAAAAAAAUCAAUUAAUAGAUAAUUCCAUCUAAUCAAAAUAACUAAAUAAAAGACGAGAUUUGAAAAUAUAAUAUCCUAAUAUACACUAAUAGACUUAUAUUAAUAGAUAAUUUCCUGCCGAUGAAAAAUUACUAAAGUUGUACUAUAUUUUAUAAAUAUUUUAAAACAUUACAUAAACACUAAUUAAAGUUGGGUUUAGUAGCAAAAGGUUACAAAUUUAUUGACACCUUCUUUUAGGAAAAAAAAAUACCUUGACAUGAGGUAAACUAAAUUUGUAAUCAGCGUUGAAAUCUUUACUAUAUUAAAUGGGCUCGUGGAGAAAAAAUUAUAUACAUCUAUUUUAUUCUUAAAUUGUCGAAAAAAAAUUAUAUUACCUUUUGUGAUCUAACGUAGUUGUGAUUUUUAUAGUGUAAGUGUCCAUUUUAAUGUUUGGAAAGAUGAUUUUUCCAAUUUUUUAGUUUACAAAAUAAAGUUCUAUAUUUUAAAAAAUAAAACCUUAUGUUGAAUAUGUGUAACUAAUGUUGAUAGGAUGUGAUUGGUUGAUCUUCAAGAUACGAUGCAUUCUGUUUAGAGUGGAGAUGGUUGCACACACAUCAAAUUUGCGUUGAUUCCUCCAAAUUUACAUGUGAAAUGUAAAUGUAAAAGAAAAACAAAAUAAACUCUUGCAGUUACACAUUAAAAAAAAAAAACGUCACGAAAUUCCAAAGUUCAAAAGAAAACAAACACACACAGGGAUUUAAUUGAUUCAAAGUAGUAACGAAUGGUGAAAAAAUGCAUCAUUUCUUGUGAUUUCACAUUAACAUGUUAGAAUAAAAAAUUAUCGUAUUCUAUAUAUUACAAUAUUGGAUCAAAUAUUAAUACAUUAAUUUAAUUAUUUAAUUACUACAACAAUGAAUUUCUUUUUCUUUUUUAAAUAAUAAUUUUACCAUUAAUAUUAUAUAAUAUUUGUUUAUUAUAUGCUAAAGCAUAUUUAAAAAUUAAAUAGAAUUAAGAGAUUUCACGUGAAUUUAUGCACAUGUUUCAACUGAAAAGAUGGAAACAAUAGUCACAAAUUAUUUUUUCCUAAAACAAAACAUUCAUAACCAAAUCUAAAUAUGCACUUUCAUAACUAAGGACCAAAACUCAUAUUACGUAGAAUUGAGCAUGGUUUAAAUGAAAUUAUUAACAAAAUACUUACACUUUACACCAGGUUUUUUGGCAACAUACCACUAGUAGAAAAGUGGUAUACGAUGACAGUUAUUUACUGUCGUAAACGAAAUUCGCGACAGUUAUUUUCAGUAAUAGAAGCGGGAGUCAUGGAAAGUCCUUCGAUGAUAGUUUUUAAAAACUGUCGCAAUAAGUUAUUUUAUGACAUGAAAUAAAUGUCGUUAAUCAGAAUUCAAUGACGUCAAAUAACUGUCAUAUUUUAUUUUAUGACAACAAAUAACUAUCAUCAUUUGUGGAUUAACGACGGUUAAAUAAAUGUCGCAAAUUCAUUUAUUGUGACAUUUUUUAAUUGUCAUGAAUAUGUUAAUCGCGACAGUUUUUUUAUAUAAAAAUGUCAUUGUUUUGCUAUUGACGACAUUUUUUUCCUGUCACAUCUAGGGCAAUCGUGACAAUUUAUUUUAUUAAACAACUAUCAUCGUUUUCGGAUUGACAACAAUUAAUAACUGUCACAAAUUCAUUUAUUACGUCAUUUAUUUUCUGUUGCAAAUUUCUCAAUUUACUACAGUUUUUUCCUG
rnacentral:lncRNA from 1 species